rnacentral:lncRNA from 1 species
GGAAAAGCUCUAGGGAUGGACCCUAAUGACUUGAGAGUGUUGUUUGAGGAAGGGCACCAAGGGAUGAGGAUGAACUACUAUCCCCCAUGUCCACAGCCAGAGCUUGCAAUUGGUCUCAACUCCCACUCUGAUGCCACUGGCCUCACCAUUCUACUCCAGAUCAACGACAUGGAAGGCCUCCAGAUAAGGAAAAAUGGGAUUUGGGUUCCGAUUAAACCACUUCCAAAUGCAUUUGUGAUCAACAUCGGAGACAUCAUGGAGGUAAUUAUUAAUUUAUGUCCACCAAUUUCUACUCCAUAGUGGUCAGCAGAUUAAUAGGAUUGGUUGUACCGACUUUGCAGAUUGUUUCCAAUGGGAUUUACCGAAGCAUUGAGCAUCGUGCGACAGUGAAUUCAGUUAAAGAAAGGGUCUCAGUUGCUACAUUCUACAGCCCCAAAUUGGAGGGGGGUAUGGGUCCAGCACCAAGCCUGAUUACUCCACAAACUCCACCACUGUUCAGGAGAAUAGGUGUUGCUGAUUACUUCAAAGGUUUUUUCUCCCGCGAGCUCCGUGGAAAAUCCUAUGUGGAUGUCUUCAGACUUCAAAAUGAGGAAAUCAAUACAAAAUAACAUUAAACCCAAGUAAACUAUAUGAAAAUAAUUUAGUUUACUAAUAAUUUACAGUGUAUCAAGUGUUCGUUUAAAUUAAUGUGUGAGAUUUUCAUUUUUUUUUGUUUUUAAUGUAGUGAGUCUUUUUUAAGUAUAAGAAUAUAUAAUUAUUUUUAAUUGGUACUAAUUUUGCAUAUAAAAUGUGUUACUAGUUUGCAUAUUCGUGCAAUGCAAGGUCUAAUAUUUGUAUCCAUUAAAAUAUUAUUUUAUAAAAUAACGAGAAACACUUUUUAAUUUAUAAAAAAAACCAUCAAUUUAAAAAAAUAUUAAUAUUUUUGAAAAAUAAACUUUUAAUGUGAAAAAUAUUAUUUUAUAAAAUAGUAAGAAAAGGUUUAUAAAUUUGUACAAAAAAAUCUUUACCAAUUUUUUUUAGAAAAAUGACUUUAUUAAAUAAGAUUUAAAAUGAACUCAAAAUUUAAUGUUUUAAGAACUUGAUUGAAAUUUGGAUUAAUAGGUUUUUUUUUAUAUAGAUAAUUUUCAUUUUAUUUCAAUAUUGAUUUUAUUAAUUUUUAUCUAAUUAAUGUUGAAUUUAUAUAAUUUUAAGUUUAUAUAUUAUAUUUCAUACAAUUACAGAGAAACCAAAUAUUGUAAAAAGUAAAAAAGGAAAAGGAAAAUUUAAAAAAAAUUAAUUUUUCUAUGUUUUACAAUUUGAUCCCUCAACUAUUUUGGGUAAGUUGUGACCUUGCCAGCCACCCAGUGACCCUAAUGUAACCAUACUCUUUGGCCAACUACACAACUAUUGCAAGAUUACCACACCUUAUGCUAGCUACUCUCAAAUUCUAGGAUAAAACAUCUCUAAUAGAGAAUAAGGGGUUAGAGAUUAGAAAUUUUAAAGAAAAAUCAGUAAAUUGUUCUUAGCUAACCUAUCUCGAGUCUUUGUACAUUACCAACACUGAGCAUCAAACCCCUUUCAGUAGUCCAAUUACCAUACCACCUCCAUCAUUGACUUUCAUCCAUUAAGUCGAACCACCAUCUACCAAUCUAUCCACUCACCAUCUCUACCUAGCCAAUACCACCAUAGCCACCUCUGUUACCAAUUUUUUAUUUCUAACAACUUGUCGUUACUACAAUAACCUCUGUAAUAGGCCAAUUUUGGCCUAGCCCAGUUUAUAAAAUAAAACUCAAAAAAAUAAACAUAAAUAAAUAAAAGUCUAAAAUUUUUAACAGUCCUAUCUACAAAUUAAAACUCAAAACCCAUAACCCAAAUAAAAAAACCCAAACCCGAUAACCAAAAACCUUAGCAGCCCAAGUGGCCCAAAAACUAAGCUAAUUUUCAGCAGAGGAAGAACCCUAGCCCCUAGGCCUCCAGCACCGCACGCCUGUUUCUGCUCAUCGCCGCACCUCUACCUCCGCGCCUCUGAUGCUUCUCUGACACCUGCAAAACAAAGACCAAGGCAAAGAUCCACACGCAAGCAGUAAAAACAAGAAAGAAAAGACAAAAAAUAGAAACGAAUAGACUUAAAAUUUCUCUAUAAAGGCCACAAUGGCCAUCUUGUAUUUUUUUCUCUCCGGAUAUAAAAAUUAUCAAUCAAAAACAAGUAAAAAAAAUUUCCAAAGGCGACCUUUCUCUUUUAUUAUCUAUUUUUUUCCUUUAUUUUUUAUUUUCGUUAUUUUUAUGUAAAAAAAAAGAAAGAAAAGAAAGGAAGAAUUUACCUGGACUAUUCCGCGCUCUUGUCGUCGAAAACUCCCUCUCAGGCGUCGAAAUCGCCUUAGGGAGAGGGCAACAAAGUCUUUUCUUCUGAUAUUCAGGGUAGGAAGGCUUUGCCUUCAGAUUCGUUUUUGAAAAAGGUUGAAAAAGCUGAAUUUAAGGGUAGCUCUGACCACCGUCCACAGUGGAGCCACGGUGGAAGCAUGGCAGAUCGGUGACGGAGCAAAAGAUGGGUUUGAAACCCUACCAAAGAAAAGGGAGAAAUUUUUUGAAAUUUUUUCUAAAAAUGAGGGCUGAAAUGAGAAUUUAAAAAAAAAUUGGCUUAAAUAGCUGAGCAAAACGGCAGCGUUUUGCUCCCCCUCCCCCCACACGUCUCAAAACAGCGUCAUUUUGGGGGGCCGUUCGACCCGAUCCGCUCCAGGGAAGGGGAUCCGCAUGUUCCCACUUUUUGGGUUAUUUACGCUAAUGGUCCCUUCACUUCUGGGGCGCGCUUCAGUUGGGUUCCUUUUCCCUUUUUAUUUUUUUAAUUAGCUGCUGAACUCUUCGCGUGUUGCAAUUUGAUCCCUAGCUCAUUGAUCUCCUAGAGAAAGGACGAGCGCCUGGGGGAGUUUGGAUUAUUUACUGAAUUGGUCCUCGUUAGUUUUAGCGCGCCUUAUUUAGAUCCUUAUUAACAUGUUUUUAUUAUUUAUAGUUUGCCCCUAUAUCUUACUCCGAUUUCAAUUCAAUCCUUGGACCUUUCUACUUUAAACUAUUUUAUUGUAUAUUAUACUAAAUUAUUUUAUAUGUCAUCUAUUUUAAGUUUUUUAUAUAUUAUUUAUUUUAAACUUUUACACAUGUUAUCUAUUUUAUAUUUUAUUUAGUAAACGGUUUUAUAUGUUAUUUAUUUUAAAACUUUUUACAUUGUAUAUUUGAAACUGUUUUAUUAUUUAUUUUAAGCCUUUUAUAUAUAUUAUUUAUUUAAAACUAUUUUAUUAUUUAUUUUGAAUCGUUUUAUAGGUUAUUUAUUUUAAAAUGUUAUUUAUUUUAAAUUGUUUUAUAUAUUAUUUUGUUUCUUUGUUUAUUAAUGUUGAUAUUAAAUGAUGUAUGUUGUAUGACUAUUGCCAUUAUGUGUACUAUAAUUCGUUUAUUUUUAUUUUUCAUAUUGUUGUCAUUUAUUAAUAUAAUAUUUUACUCAUAAAUCACUAUGCCAUGUUCGAUAUUUUCAUUCCAUCUUGUUUCAUUAAAACCACUUCAAAAGUCACAUUUUUUUUAUUUAUCCAAUAUAGACCGUUUUGUUUUACUCCAAACAAAAUAAAUGCACAUCGUUAAGUGUUACUCGUUAUUAUUCAAAAAGGAAAUUUUCACAAUAAGGCAAUAUUUCGUGUUUUGGGAAUUUGAGAAAUCCUACACUAACUUACGGGGUUUCGAUUUUCUUGUUAAACCUAAAUAGCCAAAUAUCCUUUUAGAUUUCAAAAUACAUGAAGUUUCGAUAAACAAAUUAAAGGCAAACUAAUUCCCGAUGGUUCAAAUGUUGCAUCCUAACUUACGGGAUGUGGCAUAUUGUUAUUGCGGGACGAGUAAGCCUUUGAUGCUCGUUUCAAUUUAAUUCAAGCAUUUUUAAAAUGAACAAUAAUAAAAAGGGAUCGUAUUUUCAAAUCUUUUCAAAAUUUUAAAUUUUAACAUUAAGACAUUAAUUAAUCAAUUAGGUACCAAUUUUGGGCGUGACGAGGAUGCUAAUCCUUCCUCGCACGUAACCGACUCCCGUUCCUGUUUUCUCGAAUUUCGUAGACUAAAAUUGUUAUUUUAAUAAAUCAAAAUAUUUUAUUAAAACGAUCAAAUAUACGGAGUGAUCCAAUCACACCUCAUAAAAAAGAUUGGUGGCGAAUCUAUUUUCAUUUUUCAAAAUAAAAGACGAUCCUAUUUCAAAAAAAUGAUUUUGACAACGUCAAUUGCAUAAAUCCUUUAGUAACAUUUGCACCACCGUAUCAAUCACAUCAUUUUUACCUUUUAAACAUUCAACAAUAAACCUACCCUUACAUGCAAAUCAACAAACCCAACCAAACGUUUCAGCUAUAGAUAUUAUCAACCCUCAUCUAACCCGAAAUGAUAUCCCAAAAGAAUCAUUUAAGACCCGUAACCCUUAAAUAAAAUUAAACUAGUAAAAAGCAAACUGAAAAUAAAAAACCAAUCAAAGAGAAAUAUAAUUCGAAACCAGACUCAUUGGAUAGUAGAGAUGGUUGAUUGGAGAAAUAUUUCUUUGUAUCUCGUUUGGAGAUCUUUGGAUUUUGGAAUUCUUUUAGCUAAACUUGACCAAAUGAGGUGAAAGAGGAAGGAGAGAACUACAUUUCCAUACUAUUAUUUGGGCCGAAGAAGAUGGCUGUGGCAAUUGUACAUCCCUCGAGUGGCUAGGAUUUCAACAAAAAAUAAAUAAAAAUAAAAAGGUAAACUAUGCCAGAAAGGACUGUCACCAUUUCAUGUUCUUUUGUGUGUGUAUUAUUUAUAUAUAUAUGAUUAAAUAUAAUUGAUUGGAAGGAAAGAAUAAUUGAGUACCUAUAUGGUAAAUACCCAUUUGGUGUUAAGUAUACUAGAGGUGAUCAUGGGCCGGGCCGGGUUGGGUUCGGGCCGGUCCCAGGUAAAAUUUUAGGCUUGUCUAUUGGGCCCGGGCCCGGCCUGGCCCAAAAUAUGGUCCUAAAAAUUUGUCCAAGCCCGGCCCGAAAUAAAAUUACUAAGCCCGAACCCGGCCCGGCCGGCCCAGCCCAACCCAUAUUAAUUUUUUUUCUUAUUUCAUUAAAUAAAAAAAUUUUAAAAUAUAAUAAAUCAAAUAUAUUUAAAAACAUAAAAACAAACAUUAAAAUAAAUAAAAAUAAUACUAAAAUAAUUCUUAAUUAACAAUAUAAUAAAAAUGGUUAAUUAUAUUAAAAUUUUAAAAUGAUUAAAAAUAAAAUAAAAAAUAUAUUAAUAUAUAAUUCAGGCCGGGUCGGGCCCGGGCCAAAAAAUCUUACCCGAGGCCCGACCCAUUUUCUAAACGGGCCUCAUUUUUUUGCCCAAAUCUAUUUUUCGGGCCUAUAUUUUUAUCCAAACCCUCCCAUUUUUUGGGAGGGCCUUCGGGCCGGGCCAGACCGCCCGACCCAUGAUCAGCUCUAGUGUUAACUAUACUUAUAGCUAUACAAUUUAAUUGUGCCCAAAAUAAAAAUAAUUAAUAUUUUAUUCAAACUUUUAUAUGAAAAAAUUGGAAUAAAUUAAUGUCAUAAAUAAUUGUAUUUUGAUUUUUAUGUUUCAAAAGUCAAAACUCAAACUUACUUAAUUUGUUCUAUCACCUCGUUAUGAUGCACUUAUUUUGAUAUAAACCAUCUAAAUACUUCAAGUAAGAUCUAAGAAAAAUAGUAAAUUGAAAAUCUACAUUUUUUUUAAAUAUCUAAGUUCGAAUCCACAAAUUUUGCUAAGAAUCAAAACACAUUUAUUAUUCACAAAUUAUCUAAGUAUUACUAUUUGAAUUUGAGUUAAAUAUUAUUAUCUGUUGAAUAUUUGAAUAUAUAAAAAAUCAAUUUCAAAAUUUUCAAUAUUUUUUUAAUAUUCAAAUUCGUGAAAAUUUAAAUUUAGAUAUGCUAAAAAUUAAAAAAUAUAAGGUCGACUAUGAUAUCUGAAUCCUAAUCCAUUGUUUAAAUAAGUAAUGCGAUUUGAACAAUGGAAACUCGUAAUAUUUAUCUGCAUUAACUCUAAAUCGGCAACAAAUAAUAAUUUUAAAAUCUUAUUUUGAAAAAUAUUUAAAUCUAAAAACUGAAUUAGAUAUCUACGGAUAUCCAAAUUCACAAUCCGAAUUGUUAUACUUAGUUAAAUUGAUUUUUGGUAUCUUAAUAUUUUUUUGCUCAACUCUAAAAAUACGACAUCGUAUUGUAAAGAAUAUGAGAAUACAUAAGAUAAUUUGGGUAUAAAUUAAAUUAGUAAAAUUUUAAGUAAAAUUUGUAUAAAAAAACCUCAAAUAAAUAUUAAUUAAAAAAGCUAUGGAUAGAUAGAAUUUAAUAAAAAGUUAAUUAUUAUUUAAAACAAUUUAUUGAAAAAAUGUUAUUUUUGUAGAAAAUUUAUUUAGCUGCGAAUAUUUAAAACUAUUCAUAAUGUAAAGGCUCAAAUCCGUCCAGCCCAAUAAAUAAAACAAAACAAAUAAUAAUAAUAAUAAUAACAACAACAACAAUAAAAGUCCAAUCCAUCAUACAAGCUCAAACCGAGGCCCAAAUACAUUACCCAAUCUAACAAAACCCUAAAACUCUAAUAUUACAUCAACCCAAGCCCAAAACCCUAAAAACUAAAAGGAACCCUAGCAGCUUCGGCGUUACUCCUUCGCCACGUUAUCGAACACACCGCUCGAGGUCUCUCCCCUCCUUUCACCGAAAUGGCAAGGCGUGGCUCCCCAAUGCCGUUGACUUUUACCACCACCACUUGUAAAGAAAAAAAGAAACGAGAUAGAGGACAGAGAUAGCAAAAAAAACAAAAAAGAAAAGAAAAAUAUAUAUGUAAUCGACUAUAAAAGCCUAAUGAAUAGAGAAAUACAAAAAAAAAUGAGAUUUGAAAUAGCAAGAACAAAGAAAACAAACAGAGGUAGUUUAUUUUUUUUCUUAUUUUUUAAAAAAGAGCAUAAAAAAUAAAAGAUCUUUUUACCUGACGUUUCGCCUUCUGCCGCUGUCGGAGACCAUCUCUAGCCCUCGAAUACCUCAGAACCCACUAGAGUUCUGACGAGGGUUUGAUGUAUAUAGCAAGGCUGAGAGUUUUUUUGUUAUUUUUCCCUUUUCUUUUAUUUUAUUUUAGAAGGCAUUAGCCUUCAGAUCUAGGUCUUAGGGGUAAAAAAGACCUAAAAAGGUAAACUUUUUUGUAACUCCAACCCUCGGAGCCAACGGUCGCUGUCACCGAUGAUCGGUCGCCACGGCGGGGCGAUGACGGCCCUAUGGUCGGACUCAGGGACACCUUCAGAGAAAAAAAAAGGAAAAGGAAUUUUAAAAAAAAAUAGUUUGGAAAUAAUUUUUUUUCAAACUUUUUUUACUUAAAUAAGGUCACCUAAAUGACGUCAUUUCAUCGUGGCCCUAAAUGCCCCAAAACAUCGUGGCCCUAAAUGCCCCAAAACGGUAUUGUUUUGGGGCUGACCCGGAUUCUUUUAGGAUUUGUGUGUUUUUAAAGGGGAGGGUCUAGUUGCUACUUUGACCUUCCGUUUUUUUUGCUAUUUUUCAAUUUCGUCCUAUAAUUUAUUAUUUUUACUUCUAUUUUUUCCCUUUUAUUUUGCUAUUGUGCAAUUUGGUCCCCCUAACCCAUUGAUGAUCCCUCUGGGAAUGACACGUGUAAAUGGGGUUAGGAUAAUUGCCCUCUGAGUCUCUGUAUUUUCCAUUUUAUUCUAAUUUAGUCCUUUAUGUUCUGUUUUCUUAUAAUUUUGACUUUAAAUUUUGUUAUGUUUUCAAUUCAAUCCUUCGCUUCCCCUUUCUUUGUUUAUUUUACAAUUCAUGCUUUAAGUUUCGUUUAAAUUUCAAUUUAAUCCCUAAUUUAUUUAAUUUUGCCUCUUUAUUUACUAUAUCUUUUAUUUUAACAUUUAAAAUUUAUGUUAUUUAUAUUUCCUUUUUUAUGAAUUUUUUUAUUUUAUCAUUAUUAUUAUUUUCACUCAUAUUAGUAUCAUGAUAAUAAUCAUGACAUGAUUAUUUUUACUAUAAAUUGAUGUAUUUUUAUUAUCAUUAUAGUUGCAUUAUUAUUAUUCGCUAGCAUAACAUUUUUUUAUUUUACCUUUUCAUUUGUUUUUUUUCUCUUUAUUCAUUUAUUCAUUUAUUUAUUAUUCUAAUAUCAUCAUUUCAUUUUUUUACCUAUUACUAAUUUUCUUUAUUUUGUUAAUCACCAUGCCAUCAUGUUAAAAUAUAUUUAUUCAUUUUUACACUAUGCCCAAAUAAAUUAAAUGUAUAUCGUUUUAAAAGUUACCUUCGUUUUAUUUAACAUAUAGAAAAUACUUAAAACUGAGGCAAUGUUCAUUAUUUUUGGAAUUCAAGAAGUCGUGCUCCUAACUUAUAGAGUAUGGCAUCUUCCUAGAAUCGAAGUAAUCGAAUAUCCUAUUUAAAAUAAUGAAAAGCAAGAUUUAAGUAAUGAUCAAAUGACGAUAUCGUGUCCUAACUCACGGGGUGGUCUUUCUUCUCGAUUAACUUGAAAUAGGACCUUUUCCAUUAAAUCUAAUUUAGUUAAGCGAUAUCUUAAUAUGCAAAAAGGGAUCGUGUUUUAAAUUCUCUUCAAAUUUUUAAUUCUCUACACUAAGACAUCAAGUAAUCAAUUAGGUACCAAUUCUGGGCGUUAUGAGGGUGUUAAUCCUUUCUCAUACUUAACUGACUCCCGAACCCAUUUCUUGAAUUUUGUAAGACCGAAAAUAAUUUUAGUAAAUCUAACAUUUUAUUAAAAUGAAAGUCUUGAGGUGAUCCGAUCACACUUAAUUAAAAAAAGAUUGGUGGCGACUCCACUUUCGUUUUUUAAAAAUAAAAGUCCAUUUCCAAAAAAGGUUCGACAGCUUGGGCGACUCCAUUGGAGAUAAAUAAGAGAGUCAAGUCGCGAGUUGAUUACUUUUUGGUUUUUUUGUCAAAAAUUGAUAAGUUGGUUUAAAUUGACGAUCCUCUCAUUGUAUUUCAUUCUUCAUAUUUUAUUUUGGUGGUAAAUAAUGUCUUUAUUAUCUUGGGUUGCAUAAUGAUUCAAUAUGUCUGUUUUAGUGGUUCGAGUUUCUCUUGGUAUAUUUUCGCACAUUGCAUGGCAUAAUCAUUCCAUUUUUCCCUUCUUAAGUGGGAGUGAGAAGUUAUUCCUUCGUGAGGUCUUCACCUCCGCAUAGGAUAGUGGAUCGCUUUUGGGAUACAUCCAUACUUAUGUCUUCGUGAGGUCUUCACCUCCGUACAGUUAUAGGGAAAUGUAUUCCUUUGAAUUGAACUCGAUCCGUAUGAGCCUAUAAUAGGUGAGGAUUAAGGAAUCUGCUGGUUUGGGUACUCUUACUUUAGAACCAAACCGCAUAUAAUGAACCCUAAAGAACCCAUUCUAGGUAGAACCAUAUCAAACCUUUAGUGGUCACCCGAAUAGAUGUUCUAUUUAUUAUUUCUUACUUUGUAUUCUAGCUUUGUAUGAAAUGUACUGACUUGUUUCGUUUUGUUUUGGCUGUGAUUGCAUUGCAUUUUCAUUAUAGAAAAGGGUGUUGAUUUGCGUUCAGUUGCUAAAUGGAGAGCUUGUCAUGGAAAUGGAAUUUGUUGAUAAAAUGGAAGACAAUUCGGCCGUACAAAUAUGGUCCAAGAAAAUACAACAAGAGAAGGGUAACAGCCUGACAGAAGGGUACAUGUAAGAAUUAUGGGAUUUCACCCGCAUUAGUGUGACUCAGAAUAAUCUUCAAGAGUUGAAAGAAAUAUGAGACCAGUGGGAUGAUGAAAUCAAGCAGUUGUUCUACUAUGAAUAUAGUAAUUUACCUUAUUUACUCGAUGUCAAAGUGGAUAAGUACUUAUUCCGAGCUCUUGCCCUGUAUUGGAAUCCCGCCUAUAGCUGCUUCAUUUUUGGGAAGGUAGACUUGGUGCCCACCGUAGAAGAGUACACAACUCUGCUUCGUUGCUCGAGGAUCCAAGUCGAAAAAUCUCAUUCUAUAGCCACCAACGUCUCAACUUUCUUAAAGAGACUAAUGAACAUAACUGGGAUGAGCAAGCAAUAGGUCACGACUCGGAUUAAACAAAAAUGGGAUAGUAAAUGCAUCCCUUGGAAAAGCCUGCGGAAUUUUAUCUUGGCACAUCCGGAUGCGAGGAAAAGAGUCGACGUUUUCGUAUUGAGUAUCUAUGGGUUAGUCAUCUUCCCCAAAGCACUAGGCACAUAGAUGAUGCAAUUUCAGAUCUAUUUGACUGACUUAACAAAAAGGUCACAUCUGUCCCAAAAAUUUUGGCUGAAACUUUUAGAUUUUUAAAUGCAUGCCGAAGAGCGGGUGAAUAAAGAUUGAUUGGGUGUGCACAACUCUUGCUAGUCUGGUUCUAUAGCCACUUUUGGAAGGUAGAAAAAUUCUCUUAUCGAGUGUUGUCUAAGGACUACUCUCCAUUGAAAGAAUUCGUAGCUAUCUCAAGACGAGACAACAUUUCUAAAGAAAAGUGGAUGGCAAUUAUCUAAAAUCUCCAAGAUGAAGACGUUGAAUGGAAGGCCCCUUGGAUGAUCCUUGAUGAAAUUUUGUACAAAUGUAGAGACUGUGACUAUGUCCCUCUACUCGGGAUAUAGGGAGCUGUUGGAUAUGUCCCUCUACUUGUAUUGAGACAGUAUAGGUCAAGGCAGUUUAUACCAGAAGCGUAAGGGUUGGCUCAAUUUGAGUUUGCAUACAAAGGUGACAAUUACAAAACAAAAGGUUUGUGAAAUUUUGAACGCGUGUAACCAAACCCACAAAAUGAAGAGAUUUUUCGUAAAUCCUAUGACAACCCCAGAAUAUGAUUGGUGAUGGAGGGUAAAAGAAUCGAUGACAAUGUCUUUUUGGCAAGCCAAGAAAGCACCCAGCCGAUAGAAGAACAUUUGCAAGUGAUCCUGUCUGAAUUAGAGAUCGUAAAGCAAGACUUCGAAAAGCAAAGAUCAGAGCUGGGGAAAAGGAUAGAAAAGUUGGAAGAGGAAAAGGUUUAGCUAGGAUUAGACGUCAAAGUCCAAAAGUUAGAAGCUGAGAAAAUGAGAAAAGGAAAGAAUAAGACUGAGUAAGACUUGGACAGUCUAAAAAUAGAUUAUAAGAAGCUACAUUUGUCGAUGAGAAUUGCCGGGUUGGUUAAAACAUCGAAACAAUAACGGUAAGAAAUCCAAGAAGAAAUAUUAAAGAUGAUUAGUGGGAAAAGAAAUUCCAAGAUGCCCGAGCUUAAGAAGAUGCUCUAAAAAGGGAUUUGUUAGAAAGCCGAAAUGAAAAGGUUGGAUUGAGAGCCCAGGUAACGGAAUUAGAAAGGUUACUGCAUCAACAUCAUAGUCGCAACUCUGUGAUCCAGUUGAAAGCAAGCCUGACUAAGGUUGAAGAGUUGAAGGGAAAAAUAAAAGAGCUCUAGGCUGCACGGUAAAACUGUGAAAUUCGAGUUGAGCUUCUUGAAACGAAUAAUGAACGUUGAAAAGAACAAUUCCAAUGCUCUCAAGGUUAAAUCAGGUAUAGAGAUAACAUCAUGAGUGAAGUUUUGAUUCAAGUACGGGAAAUAGUCGAACAUUUGCAAACCCUAGCGGUUCAAGCUGACGUGCUAAGUUUGAGAUACGAAUAAGAAUCAAAUCAGAGUUGAGAAUUAGCUUGGCUUCUUAAGAAAGUCAAGGCUUUAAGUAUUAGGGCAAGGCCAUAUAUGUAAAAUGUAUCCGUUUUAUGUAAAGAAAUUUAUUUUCUAGUAACGUUGUUCUAAUAGAAUUGAAUCAGAAUCAAUGCCUCUUUUUGCAUUCAUUUUUCUUUCAUUAGCAUUACAUUUCAUCAUAUACAUUAAAUUUCAUAAAAAUACCUUAAUUAAUUGAAAUUAUGACAGUUACCCUAGAUAUCAACAAGAAUCUACCAAUCAAAUAUCGUUACGGUACUCGCAGUAAAAGUAAAGCCAUGGAUCAAAGGUUAGAGAGACUAGAACAAAUUCAGAAAGACAUGCAAAAUUAGUUGUAAGCGUAGCUGCAAGACCAAUUAGCUAAGGUAAGCAAGACAUGAAGAAUUAAAUACAAGAGUCCCAACAAAGCAUAAUAAGCCAGUUGACCCAGUUACUGGCCGGAUGAUUGAAAAAUGGAAGAGUACUGUGCUUAACUCUGGGGAUAAUAAUAAAGACCCUACAUACCCCCUAGGCUUUACCCCAAAAAAUGUCUAAGCCGAACCAGAUACAUAUCCACGAAGAGUACCCGUUACCAUAAGACUACAACAAUACCAGGCCGCCACCUCAGGACCGGUAAAUUACCCAAUGGGUUCAGGUUCCAAUCCCGGAGAUAAUUUGACCAACCCCGUUGUUCCAGAUUUGGACGACAUAGCUGAAAUGGAUAGAGCAAGAGUAGAAUUACCAAAAUAUCUAGAAGAUUGGUAUAAGUGGUUGGAGGAGAAAUUCUGAGCCAUGGAGAGUGUUGACUACUUUUACAGGGUCGAUGCUAAAGAAUUGAGUGUAGUCCCAGAUCUAGUUCUCCUAUCAAAAUUCAAAACUUUAGAAUUCGAAAAAUACAAUAGGACUAGUUGUCCUGAAGCCAUAUAACAAUUUUCUGCCAAAGAUUGACAGGAUACAUCAAUAAUGACCAAUUGUUAAUCCAUUGCUUCUAAGAUAGUUUGAUCGAGUCGGCUGCCAAAUGGUACAAUCAACUAGGUUUGUCAAAAUCAAUUCAUAAAAAUACUUUGCAUAGGCUUUCAUAAAACAAUACAGCCAUGUAACCGACAUAACACUUGAUAUAAUUACGCUGUAAAACAUGGAGAAGAAGCAAAGUGAAAGCUUUAAGCAAUAUGCUCAAAGAUGGAGAGAGGUGGCAACACAAGUUCAGCCACCUCUUCUGGAAAAAGAGACGACAAUGCUUUUCAUAAAUACUUUGAAAGCCCCGUUUAUUAACCAUAUAUUGAGUAGUGCUACCAAAAGCUUCUCAGAUUUAGUAAUAUCUGAAGAAAUGAUUGAGAAUACAGUAAGGAGUGGGAAAGUAGACGCGGGGAAAAAUCCUAAAAGGUCUGCCCUAAGAAAGAAAGAAAAUGAAGUAAACAUUGUGAGUGUGUAUAAUAAAAGCUAUUCAAAACUGAUCACUGUAGGCCAACCAAGGACCAUGAUAAUCAGUCAUCAAGGCCCUUCGAGGCAAGAAUUUAACUCAAGGGAAAACAUGGAAAAACUCCAAUUCACACAUAUCUUGAUUACAUAUGGAAAGUUAUAUUAGAAUUUUUUCAAUGUACAUGUAGUAUCCUCGUUUUACUUAAAACCUAUGCAACAUCCAUUCCCAAAUUGGUAAAUGCGAAUACUCAAUGCAAGUACCAUAUACGAAUAAUGAGACACUCGAUUAAGAAUUACACUGCACUCAAAAAAUUGAUGUAGAGGUUCAUCAAGAUGGGGAUUGUAAGGUUCGAUGAUCCCUUAGGACCUAAUGUGGCAGGAAAUCUGUUACUCAGUCAUUUUAACCAAUGGAUAAACGUGAAAGAGGACCAAAACCAAUGUUGCAAAAGUGAAAUCCCCACUAAAAUAGGUUUUGCAAAAAAUGAUAGACGUGAGAUUAAUCAUUCAAGAUUCAAAAGAUAUGCCCAAAGGAGUGAUGAGCUACUGUGAGUUCCAUGCUAAAGAAGGUCAUAAGACUUAGGAGUGCGCUGAGUUUAGAGCUCUAGUGCAAAGCCUGAUGGAUAAUAAAGAAUUGGAAUUAUUUAAAAAUGUCAAAGGCUUGGAAAGAGGAGAUGUUCGCGCCUCAGAGGAAGGAUCAAUGGAGAAAUGCUACAAGGUCAACCACCCAGUGGCGAUUAUUUCAAGACCGAGAAGUAAUAAAGUGGUGAUCCCGAGAAAGGAGAGCUUGGUUGGCACUUCAGAAGAAGGCUGGGAUAUUGGUUUCUUCACGCUCAGUAGGAGGCGUUAUGACCUUGUAAAUCCAAGAACCGAGCUCCUUAAAGAAAAAACUUUAGCAGUUGAGCAUAAAAAAAUAACUUGACUUGAAUCACCUGUCAAUGAACCAGUAACUAAAAACGAAGCUAAGGAAUUCUUGAAGUUCUUAAAACAUAGGGAGUAUAGUGUAGUAGAACAGCUACACAAACAACCAGCUCACAUAUCAGUAUUAGCCUUGCUCUUGAGCUCAGAGACAUAUUGUAACGCAUUGAUGAAUCGUUAAAUGAAACUUAUAUCACUGAUAAUAUCUCUAUAAACAAGCUAGAUCGUUUAGUUAAUAAUCUAAGUGCCGACAAUUUCAUCUUCUUCAAUGAUGAUGAAAUACCUCCAAGAGGCAUAGGAUCAACGAAGGCUCUACAUAUCACUACCAACUGUAGAUGAUAUAUAUUGACAGGAGUGUUAAUCGACAAUAGAUCUGCACUGAACGUUUUGCCUCUAUCCAUAGUGAAUAGGUUGCCAGUGGAUAGCUCUCACAUAAAGACGUGCUAGAAUAUAGUGAGAGCAUUUAUUGGUAUAGAAAGGAAGGUGAUGGGGAGAAUUGAAAUACCACUCUUAAUUGGUCUGAACACAUAUGAGGUAGACUUUUUGGUAAUGGAUAUCAAACCCUAUUAUAACUGCUUGUUGGGUAGGCCUUAGAUUCAUUCGGUUGGGGCAGUGUCGUCGUCACUACACCAAAAAUUGGAGUUGGUAACAGAGGGUCAACUGGUAACGAUAAACACUAAAGAAGACAUCAUUGCAUCUGUAACUAGUGACGCACCAUACAUAGGAACGGAUGAAGAGGCAAUAAAAUAUUCCUUUCGAUAACUGGAAUUUGUUAACGCAGCUGUCAUUGUUAAAGGAAAUAAGAUCCCAGUGCCAAAAAUAUCCAAAACCACGAGUCGGGAAUGGAGCUUUACCUGAAAGAAGACUCAAAAAAUACCUUCAAAGAAGAGUUGAGGCACCAAUGCUGAUAGACAAACAAGACCGCUUUGGCUUAGGACACAAGCCAGAUGCGAGACAAAAGAAGAAGGAAUUAAAAAAAAAGUAAGAAAGAAGAAGAGUACGAAUAAGUGAGGGAGAGGUAAACUUGAGCAUCAAUGUCAUAUCCAAUGAAGGAAUUGGGAAAGAAAACCUAUCAGACAUUUGCCCUGAUAUCCCCGAAAGUGUUCUAAACAAUUGGACUACGAAAGAGAUCCUUGUAAUUUUUAGAACUAAUUCAGAGUAAUUUUCAAAACACACUUAUUACUCUAUGCCUGGGAGAUCCUUGUAAUUUUUAGAACUAAUUCAGAAUAAUUUUCAAAACACACUUAUUACUCUAAGCCUGUGAGUAAUAGGAAUCCUUUUGUGAGAAAGGAAUAUGCCCACUAUUUUUAUUUCAAUAAAAUAAUGCAUCCUUGUGUUUCAUUUGGAAAAUAUUCUUCUAUUUUUUCAUUUCAUUAAUACUCAUACCACAUAGAUAAUUAUUCUUAGAUUCAUUUUUUCUUUGUGUGUUCUUUUAUUCCUAUAACAGGUCUCUAAAUAUCAAUGAUACGAGCGACACUACUGUUGACUCAGAAUCUCCUUUUGAGUAGGAUAUGUGUCCAAAAGAACAUCAGGACUUUAAAGAUGAUUGAGAUUGUAACUUAUCUCCUGAUAAAGGAUAAGAAACAGAUCCUACCUCACAAAAAGUUGAUGGAAAUUGUGAGCUUAAGAGACAAACAAGAAAAGAAAGAGAUGAAGAUCGGAGCUUGCAUCACUGCAGAGACAAAGCGAGACCUCAUUGAAAUACUCUAAGAAUUCAAAGAUGUUUUCACAUAGUCAUAUCAAAACAUGCCUGAUCUAAGUACCGAUAUCAUGGUACACCAACUUUCCAUAAAGGAAGAAUGUAAGCCGGUUCAAUAGAAACUCUGAAUGAUGAAGCUCGACGUCCUGUUGAAAAAAAAAAGAGGUCAAGAAACAAUUCGACGUUGGUUUCCUACAAAUAGUUAAAUACUCAAAGUGGGUAACUAAUAUAGUCCUCAUCCCUAAGAAAGAUGGAAAAAUAUGAAUGUGUGUAAACUAUAGGGAUUUAAACAAAUCCAACCCGAAGGACAAUUUCCUGUUACCUCACAUCGGCACAUUAGUGGACAACACGGUAGGUUAUUCACUAUUCUCCUUCAUGGAUGGCUUCUUCGGAUACAACUAGAUAAAGAUGCAUCCUGAAGAUAUGGAAACGACCACAUUCGUAACUAUGUGGGGAACAUUUUGCUAUAAAGUGAUGCCAUUUGGACUAAAAAAUGCGGGAGCGAGAUAUCAAAAAGUCAUGGUAACUUUGUUUCAAGAUAUGAUGGAAAAAGAAAUCAAGGUUUAUGUCGAUGAUAAGAUUGCAAAAUCCUGAACAAAAAAUGAGCAUGUACAAGUCUUGAGGACAUUAUUUUUGAGGUUGAGAAAAUUCUAGCUAAAGCUGAAUCCAGCAAAAUGUACCUUUAGGGCUAUGUCGGGAAAAUUACUAGAAUGUGUAAUCAGCGAGAAAGGGAUCGAGAUUGACCAUGAUAAAGUCAAGGCUAUACAGGAGUUCCCUUCAUCGCGCUCUCUCGAAAAGAGGUCUGAGGUUUCUUAGGGAGAUUAAAUUACAUCAGCCGGUUCAUUUCACAACUAAUCGAGAAAUGCGACCCCAUAUUUUGUCUCCUUAAAAAAUAUAAUUCAGGUAUAUGGGAUGAGGAAUGCCAGAAGACCUUCGACAAGGUUAAACAAUACUUGUCCAAUACCCUAGUAUGAUGCCACCUAGCCCAAAUAAGCCACUAAUACUGUACUUGGCAGUCUUUGAGAAUUUUAUUGGAUGCAUGCUUGGCCAAUAUGAUGAGUUAGAGAGGAAAUAAAGAGUGAUAUAUUAUCUCAGUAAGAAAUUUACUGAAUGUGAGAUAAGAUAUUCGCUAGUUGAGAAUUUGUGUUGCGUUUUAAUCUGGACAACCCGAAGAUUAAGAUAAUACAUGUUGUACCAUACGACUUGGCUCAUCUUGAAAAUAGACUUUCUAAAGUACAUGAUAGAGUCGACUGCUUUGAAUAGAAGAAUAACCUGAUGGUAAAUUCUACUCUCUGAAUUCGAUAUAAUCUAUAUGAACCAGGAGGCGAUAAAAAAGAGUGCAAUAGCAGAUUUUCUAGCUAGUUGAGCUCUAGAAGAUUAUGAGCCUUUGAACUUUGAUUUCUCAAAUGAAGAUCCGAUGGGCAGUCCUGGUAUCCUUAGACGGAGAUAAUUAUCCUUCAACCAGCAAACUUGACUUUGAUUUCACAAAUAACAUGACAGAAUACGAAGCAUCAAUCAUGGGCAUUCGUGUAACUAUAGAACGCAAGAUCAAGGUGUUGGAGGUAUAUGGGGAUUCUGCACUAAUGAUCUAUCAACUAAAAGGUGAAUGAGAGAUAAAAGAUCACAAUUUGAUCGAGUAUAAAAGGCUAGUCUUAGAGUUAAUUAAAGAGUUUGAUGACAUCACCUUCUGUUACCUCUCGCGAGAUAAAAAUCAGAUGGUCGACGCCUUGGCUACCUUAGCUUCCAUAGGUUAAAGUAAACAAACAAGAGGAUGUAAAACUUAUCCAAAUGAGUAUUUAUGAGGCUCUGACAAAUUGUUACAACAUCGAGGAAGAAGAAAAGGAUGAUCACCCUUGGUACCACGACAUACUUCAAUAUGUAAAGAACCGUGAAUACCCUGACCAAGCAACCGAGAAUGAUAAAAAGACGCUAAGAAGACUAGCUUGUAACAACCUGAUUUAGGGCCUAGUCGAAAUAUUGGUCUCGGGACCAUAAAUCUAGAGUUAAAUAAAUUAUUUUAUUAUUAUUUUAAAGUUCUUGCAUGUUUAUAUUAGUGUAUGAAAAUUUUGGUUAGUUAAUUUUGAAAUUUGUGAGCUCAAUUGAGAAAAAGGACUAAAUCGCAUAAAAUGAAAAAUGUCCUAAAUUGAUAGGUAAAGGUGUCAUAUAGCUAGAGAAUAAAAAAAAUUGAGGGUCUUUAAAGGGAAAUUAGACCCUGUUGUGAUAGCUUGGCCUGCCAUGGGAGAUAAAAAUGUUGAAAAGUCAACAUUUGGUAAUAUGAUGACAUAAUGUAUGAUAUAAUAAUACCUUAAGACUAGCUAUCCUCUUUUUCUUUUAUUCUUUCUUCAUUUCCACCGAUUUUUUAGCCAUUGUUAAAGGUUUUUAGCUUCAAAAAUUUCAGCAACUCAUUCAUCUUACAAGUAAGUGAUUUUAAUGGCUUCUCUUGAAUAUUAUUGUACUUUUGAGACCCUUGAAGCAUGAGCUUUCAAAUGAGAGUACUAUUUUGUAAAAUGAUCAAGAGUGUAGGGUUUUUCCAUGAAAGGGUUUAUGAUGUUUGCUGAGUUUUUAUGGAAGAAAAUAAGUCUUGGGUGUGUUAUGAACAACUUUUGUAAAAGGUGUUAGCAUGAAAACACCUAAAGAGGACUAUAUUGCAUAAGUUGUAAAAUAGAUGUUAAGUACGUGAAAUAGUGGGAAUUUGGAGUUUCUAUAAGAGUAAAAAGGGUUCAGCUAGGCUUAAGAUAUGAAUUUUUGAUUUCUUAAUUUUAUUGAGUGACUAAAUAAGUGCAUUUUACGAUUAUAAAUCAAGAAUCACCAAAUCCUAACUUAAAUCGGGGGAAAGCCAAGCAAAUCGAUUAAAUCGACUAGUCGCCACAUUUUGUAACCUGAGGUAAGUUGUAUGUAAAUAAUACAACUACAAUGUUAAUGUAUGUGUUGAAUUUGCACUCAAAUUUAUUAUAGCAUGAAUUGCUUGAUUAUGGAAUUGAGAAAGCAUGAUGGUAAUGGAGAUAGUAGAGUUCCCGUUUGAACUUAGAAAAUAAAUCGAAUAUUCAAGCCAUAACAUAUAGGUUAUUGUGAGCUAGUGUAAGACAUGUCUGGGACAUGCAUCAGCCACAUCAUGAAAGCCAAUGUAAGACCAUGUCUGGGACAUGGCAUCGGCAUUGAGACGAGUGCUAGUGUAAGACAUGUUUGGGACAUGCAUCGGCCUCGAAACGUAAGUCAGUGUAAGACAUGUCUGGGACAUGCAUCGGCUACGAGAUGUGUCAAUGUAAGACCAUGUCUGGGACAUAGCGUCGGCACAAAUAUGCUAGAGCUUGUGUAAGAACAUGUCUAGGACAUGGUAUCGACACCUUACCCCAUGUUUAAGGCUUAACGAAUAUCUGAUAGUGUUCCAAAUGGUUCAACGGUGAAAGUCAUGAUUUCAAGUUAACGAGGAAAGUAUAGCUAUGUUGUGAGUGGUACAGGUACCUGUUUGAUAUAUAUAGAAUAUGAGCCCAUUUUAUGAUAUACGAUGUGUACUGAAUAUUGAUGAGUAAGUUUUGCUUAUGCCCAAUUGUAUGUUAUGAGCUUGUUGAUGAAUGGUAAAGUUAUGUUGUAUAUUUAUUUAUGUGCAACUUACUAAGCUUCAUGCUUACUCCCUCUCCUUUUUUAUUUUCUUAUAGUGCCGCUUAUCUAGCUCAAGAAUCACGGAAGCUAGAAAUAUCGAUCACACUAUCAAUUGAAGCAUUCAGUAUAGUUUGAUUUAUAUUUUUGAAUAUGGCAUGUAUAGGGAACUAAACUUGUGUUUUGUGUCAUUAUCAAUUUGGCCAAAUGUGUUGGUUUGGGAUAAAUCUCUCAUUUUUAUUAGGCCUCGAAUGAUGGCUAAUAUUCAUUUUGAUUUAUAUACAAAGAUGUUAUCUUCAUAUAUGAGUAAAAUGCACACAUGGAAUGUUGUUUAUUGUGGCCGAUUUGGUUGCAUGAGAUAGCCUAGUAUUGGCUCUGGUUGCUAAUGUGUAGGUUGCGUAAGUAAGGGUGGCAAAGAGGCUUGGUAAAUAGCCUUAUAUUGUCCACACGGGUAGACACAUGGGCGUGUGUUUAAGCCGUGUGUGACACAUGGUCUGCCUUAUGGGCGUGUGGUCCGGCCGUGUGUCCUCUGCACGUAAAAUUUUCAAGUUAGUAUGCAUGGUAGUAAACACAUGGGCAGGGACACGACCAUGUGUCUCAGCCGUGUGAAGGACACGGCCUAGCAUACAGGCAUGUGCCUUGGCCGUAUGUCAUUUUGGGGUUGCUGACGUCAGAAACAGAAUGUCCAUGUUUUUACACACGGGCAUGUCCCCAUAUUACUUAGGCCGUGUGAGACACACGGACCAUCAACACGACCAUGUCGAAAUGGCCACACAGGUGUGUUGCCCUUUCACACGGGCAUGUGCCAUGUCUCAAAGACAAAUUUUCUAUAGAUGGUUUAAGGGCCCGGGUUGAUCUCAAAUAGUUUUCAAUGGUCGAUUAGGGGCUCGUAUGCCCAUAACAAGAAGUUUAAAGUAGAAAUUGGAAAAGUUUUAACUUGGACCGAGUCUUGGUGACUUGUGAACGUUUAGGAGCACAAGUUUAAGUUAGGUAACACAUCGUAUUCCAUCCCGGCUUGGGAUACGGGUAUGAGGUGUUACAUGGCCAAUGAGUAUGUCCUAGAUGAUAAGAUCCUAUACGAAAGAAGAAAGGAUCAGGUGCUACUAAGAUGCGUAGAUGCUGUCGAAGCCAAUAAAAUCUUGGAAGAAGUCCAUGAGGGUACUUGUGAAACACAUGCUAAUGGGUUUACAAUGGCUAGAAAAAUUAUAAGAUUCGGUUAUUAUUGGUCCACCAUGGAAGGAGAUUGUAUUAAUUAUGCCAAGAGAUGUCAUAAAUGUCAAAUUUAUGGAAACAAAAUUCAUAUGCCUCCUUCACCUCUUCAUGUUAUGGCUUUUCUAUGGCCUUUCUCUAUGUGAGGCAUGUAUGUCAUUGGGCCGAUCUCACCAAAAACUUCCAAUGGGUAUCAGUUCAUCUUUGUGGUCAUCGACUACUUCACCAAGUGGGUAGAAGCCAUUUCUUAUACGAAUGUCACAAAAUUGGCAGUUAGCAAAUUCUUGACAAAAUAAAUCAUAUCUCGAUAUAGAAUGCUAGAAAGGAUCAUAUCUGACAACGCAUUGAAUUUGAACAACAAUAUGAUGUCGAAAGUCUGCAGUCAAUCCAAGAUCAAACAUCACAACUCAUCACCAUAUCGCACAAAAAUGAACGGUGCAGUUGAGGUAGCUAAUAAGAAUAUUAAGAAGAUCAUGGGGAAAAUGACAAAGACUCAUAAAGAUUAACAUAAGAAGUUACCGUUUGCCCUUUAUGCUUAUCGAACGUCUGUCAGAACCUCCACCAGGGCAACACCUUUCUCAUUGGUUUAUGGAAUGGAGGCAGUCUUUCCAAUUGAAGUUGAGAUUCCUUUUCUUUGAUUUUUUUCAGAGUUAAAGUUAGAUGAAGCAGAAUGGAUCCAAUCUCGAUAUGAUCAAUUGAACUUGAUCGAAGAGAAGAGGCUAAAAGCUAUCUGUCAUGGUCAGAUAUACCAAAAACAGAGGAUGUGAGCAUAUGAAAAAAGGUUCGCCCUAGAAAAUUCCAUGAGGGAGACUUGGUAUUGAAAAAUAUCCUACCCAUACAAAAAGAUUUCAAAGAAAAAUUGAUGCCGAAUUGGAAAGGAUCUUAUGUGGCAAAGAAAGCUUUUUCUGGAGGAGCAUUGAUUCUCACCUAGAUAGAUGACAAAAACUUGCCCAAUCUUGUGAAUUCAGAUUCAGUCAAGAAAUAUUUUACCUAAAAAAAGGGGGGGAAAGGCCAAGGCAAAAACUCGCAAAGGGCGCCUUGAGACUAAAGGUGUUUUGAGUUGAAAACCCAGUAAAGGGCAGCUCAAAUUUAGAUUGAAGAUUGAACAUGUGGUAGUCGUGUCUUCUCAGAAGGAGAAACGUUGCAUCUUAAGGCAUCAACAAAAUACUCCAAACCUCUUAGACACAUAUCAAGCUCAAAAUGGUCUUCAAGAAGUUUGUAUAGAGAAGCUCAUGCCGCGAUAUUUAAGGCAUCUAAUUUCAUUUUACUCACUUUGUGUUGUAGUAAUGUUUGUUAUUUUGAUUAAUCUUUUCAUUUCAAGUUUUGCUCCGAAUCUUAUCCAUUAAUAUGACCUUUUUCAAGCAUCUUUACAUUGAAAUAACGAUUAAUGAACUAACAAUAUUCAAGUAAAAGGAUUUCUGCAUAUUGCUCUAAAAGGUUUCUAAAUAGUACAAGGAUCUGAAACAUGACCACUAGUUAGAACUAACCAAAUCUAAGGGUUGGAAAUAUCAGGAACGAAUAGUCUAAAUUGUGAUUACUUCUUCGAGUUUUCUGUUAAAGAUAUCAGAUCUGAAUAAGAAGGCAUGGUAACACAUCAGUGAUAGAACCUUAACAAACAACGUGCAAUGUCAAUCUAGACACUAAAAAAGGGAUCCUUCUCGAAAAUAACAUUCUACAUUCAUACAAAUAUCAUUCAUAUACAUCUAGUUAAGAGCAUUUGAUUCAUUUUAAUCAUAAUAUCCCAAUCGCUUGGCGUAAAUAUAGGCCUAGGAAAUGGAUUCUACAGGUCAUAUUCCCCAGAGAACGGCGUAACAGAUCAAUAAAAUCACAAAUCUUGUAUCCUUGAAGUUGCAGUGGGUUGGAUUGAAGUCACCAUAGAGAAUCUUAUCUCCCUGAAGUUCCAGUGGAGCAGAUUAAAGCUACAAAUCUUAUCUUCCUAAAGUUACAGUAAAGCAAAUUGAAGCUACAAAUCUCAUCUCCCUGAAGUUGCAGUGGAGCAAAUUGAAACGACAAAUCUUAUACCUCUAAAGUUAUAAUAGGACAGAUUAAAUCUACCAUAGUGAGUCUUAUUUCCCUGCAGUUGUAGUGGAGUAAGAUGAAGCUACAUCUCCGAUACCCCUGAAGUUGCAGUGGGUCAGAAUAUAACUACAAUAACAAAUCUUACCUACUUGAAGUUGCAAUGGAGCAAGAUUUUGCCUUCCUAAAGUUGUAGUGAAGCAGUUACAAUAAAGUAGAGUAACCAAUGAAAGAGUGGGUUACUUGAAAAAGGGAAGCACUAGAGAAAGCGAGAUUCAGUAGGUUACAUGACAACGAGCAAAGAAGGGCAGCUGUAAAAGCCCAAAUUCGUCCGGCCCAAUAAACAAAACAAAAUAAUAAUAACAAAAUCAGCCAUCAUACAAGCCCAAACUGAUGCUCAAAUAUAUUACCCGAUCUAAUAAAACCCUAAAAGCCUAAUAUUACAUCAACUUAAGCCUAAAACCCUAAAGACUAACAGAAACCUUAACAGCUUGGACGUUGUUCCUUUGCCAUGUCAGCGGACAUGGUGCUUGAGGUCUCUUCCCCUCCUUUCACUGAAAUGGCAAGGCGCGGCUCCUCAGUGUUGUUGACCUUUGCCACCACCGCGUGCAAAGGAAAAAAGAAAUGAGAAAGAUGACAGAGAUAGCAGAGACAGAGAAAAAGAAAAGAAAAAAAUAUAUGUAAUCGGCUAUAAAAGCCUAAUGAACAGAUUGUAAUUUUACAAACAAAGAAAUACAAAAAAAAAUAAGAUUUUGAAAUAGCAAGAACAAAGAAAACAAACAAAGGUAGUUUAUUUUAAAAAAAAAGAGCAUAAAAAUAAAAAAAUAUAUAUAUAUCUUUUUACCUAUCAUUUCACCUUCUGUCGCCGUCGGAGACUAUCUCCGGCCCCCAAAUACCUCAGAACUCACUAGAGUUUUGACUAGGGUUCAAUGAAUAUGGUGAGUUCGGGAGUUUUUUUGUUAUUCCCCCCCCUUUUUUAUUUUAGAAGGCAUUAGCCUUCAGAUCUAGGUCUUAGGGGUAAAAAUGGGCUAAAAAGGUAAUUUUUUGUAACUCCGACCACUGGAGACGACGGUUUUCGUCGCCAUAACCGAUGACCGGUGCCCACGGCGAGGCAACGACGGCCCUAUGGUCGAACUCAGAGACACCUUCUGAGAAAAAAAGGAAAAGGAAUUUUUUUUAAACAGAUUAAAAAUGUUUUUUUAAAAAAUAUUUGUGACUUAAAUAGGGUCACCUAAACGACGUUGCUUCAUCAUGGCCCUAAACGCUCCAAAAUAGAGUCAUUUUAGGGCCGACCCGAUGACCCGAACUAGAUUCCCUUAGGAUCUGUGUGUUUUUAAAUGCGAGGGUCUAAUUGCUGCUUUGACCCUUCCGCUUUUUUGUUAUUUUUCAAUUUCGUCCUAUAGUUUAUUAUUUUUACUUCUAUUUUUUCCUUUUUAUUUUGCUCUUGUGCAAUUUGGUCCUCCUAACCCAUUGAUGAUCCCUCUGAGAAUGACACGAGUAAAUGGGGUUGGAUAAUUGCCCUCUUAAGUCUCUUAUUUUCCAUUUUAUUCUAAUUUAGUCCUUUAUGUUCUGUUUUCUUAUAAUUUCGAAUUUAAAUUUUGUUAUGUUUUCAAUUCAAUCCUUCGUUUUCCCUUUCUUUGUUUAUUUCACAAUUCAUGCUUUAAGUUUAGUUUAAAUUUCAAUUUAAUCCCUCAUUUAUUUAAUUUUACCUAUUUCUUACUAUAUUUUUUAUUUUAACAUUUAAAAUUUAUGUUAUUUAUAUUUCCUUUUUUUAAGCAUUUUUUAUUUUAUCAUUACUAUUAUUAUUAUUAUCAUUCAUAUUAGUAUCAUGAUAAUAAUCAUGACAUGAUUAUAGCUAUUAUUACUAUAAAUUGAUGUAUUUUUAUUAUCAUUAUAGUUGCAUUAUUAUUAUUCGCUAGCAUAACAUUUUUUAUUUUACCUUUUCAUUUUUUUCCUCUUUAUUCAUUUAUUUAUUAUUCUAAUAUCAUCAUUUCAUUUUUUUAUCCACUACUAUUGUACUUUAUUUUGUUAAUCACCAUGCCAUCAUGUUAAAAUAUAUUUAUUCAUUUUUACAUUAUGCCCAAAUAAAUUAAAUGUAUAUCGUUUUAAAAGUUACCUUCAUUUUAUUUAAAGUAUAGAAAAUACUUAAAACCGAUGCAAUGUUUAUUAUUUUUGGAAUUCGAGGAGUCGUGCUCCUAACUUUCGGAAUAUGGCAUCUUCCUAGAACCGAAGUAAUCGAAUAUCCUAUUUAAAAUAACGAAAAACAAGAUUUAAGUAAUGAUCAAAUGGCGAUUAUUCUAGUUUUUGAGAAUUUGAGGCAUCGUGUCAUAACUUACGGGUGGUCUUUCUUCUCGAUUAACUCGAAAUAAGGCAUUUUCCAUUAAAUUUAAUUUAGUUAAGCGAUAUCUUAAUCAAAUAACAUUAUGCAAAGUGGGAUCGUAUUUUAAAUUCUCUUCAAAUUUUCAAUUCUCGACAAUAAAACAUCAAGUAAUCAAUUAGAUACCAAUAUUGGGCAUUAUGAGGGAGUUAAUCCUUCCUCAUGCAAAACCGACUCCCGAAUUCAUUUCUUGAAAUUUGUAAGACCAAAAAUAAUUUUAGUAAAUCUAACAUUUUAUUAAAAUGACAAAGUCUUAAGGUGAUCCAAUCACACCUAAUUAAAAAAAUAUUGAUAGCAACUCCACUUUCGUUUUUUUAAAAAUAAAAGUCGAUUUCCAACAAACUCUUAAAUAAAAUAAAUAAAUACAGCGCUUGUCGAAACCAUUUUUUUAAAGGGAUGUUUGAAAAAUGUGGAUCGACUUUUGAAAAACGAAAACGGGAGUCGUCACCAACCUUUUUAGGUGUGAUUGGAUAACCUUAUAAAAUGUUUUGGUCUACGAAAAUUAAGAAAACAGGUUCGGGAGUCUGUUACGUACGAGGAAGGAUUAGCACCCUCGCAACUCCCAAAUUUGGUACCAAAUUGAAUAGUUUUCUGUCUUAAUGUCAAAAUUUUGAAAGAAUUUAGAAAUAAGAUUUCUUUUAAAACUGUAAUCUUUUGAGUUAAAAAAUAAUCAAGGUUCUUUCACUUCAAAAAAGUACAAAUAUCACAUCCAGCAUAAUUGGACACGAUAUCUUUAAACUUUCGUAGCUGAAAUCAUCUUAUGAUUUGUAAAACUCGUUUAAAAGGAUAUUUUAGAUAUUCAGACAAACGGGAAAUCGCAACCCAGCAUGUUAGGGCACUACUUUCCGAAUUCCUAAAUAUCAAAAACAUUGCCUCAUUUUAGAAAAAAAUUUGGAUAAAAUAUGACAAUUAAAUGAAAUAUUUUUUUAAAAAAUAAUGAUUUGAGUAAAUUUUAAAAAAUAAUUUACUAAGAGUAAUACUAAAAAAAAUUAAAAAAUGAAAUAGUUUGAUAUGAUACUAAAAUUAUUAAAAAAUUAAAAUAUAUAAAAAAAAUCAAGGAAACAUGGAUUAAAUUAAAAUAAAAAGGGUUGAAAAACGAAGAUGAACAAAGAAUAAAAUAAGAACAAACCGUAGAAAAUAAGAACGUAAGAGGGAGAGAAAUUUGAGUAAAAGCUCUCAAAAAUUUUUAUUGUUUCCCAAAACUCCAGUGUCUUUACAAUGAAGGGAGAGGCCUCUAUUUAUAGUUGAACCUCCUCAAAUCCGACGGUACAGAUCAAUUACAUCAACGGUUAAGAUUAAAAGGUAUCUACAAAUUAAAUCUCUAAGAUUACAAAAUCAUAUCUUCUAAGAUUGCAUAUCAUAUCUAAGAUUGCAAUCAUAUCUAAGAUUGUAUCAUAUCUAAGAUUGCAUAUCAUUGAAGAUUAUAUUUCCAUAUGAGCCAAGCUUGUAGAUGGACCUUAAAUCUUUUCAAGUAAUGGGCCAUUCCGAUCGGGCCAAAUUAUAUUUGCAAUUCUGGACUGAACUUGGACUUCGUUUUUUUUUGGGGUUUAUUAUUUUUGUUUUUGUACUUAUUUCUGGGCCCAGGCAAAAUUGAGUGUCUACAGUUGCCCCUCUUUGCUCAUUGCUGUGUAACAGGAAUAGAGAAAAGACUAUAAAAGACCAAUUUUGCCCGGGCUCGCCGAGUCUUAAGUUCUUGAUCCUUGAUCUUCUUUAAAUGGCCUCUUGACGGCUUUAAUCUGCUUCACUGCAACUCAGGAAGUCGAUAUCUGCUAUCUUUGAUCUGCUCCCCGUCUAAUACAGAGACGCCAAAUCUGUUACCUUCGAUCUGCUCCCCGUCUAAUACAGAGACGCCAAAUCUGCUUCUUCAAUCUGCUCCCCGUCUAAUACAGAGAUGUCAAAUCUGUUAUCUCCGAUUUGCUCUCCGUCUAAUACAGAGAUGUCAAAUCUGUCAUUUUGGAUCUGCUUCGAUGUAAACACAUGAAGGUCAGAUCUACUAUGUCUUCGAUCUACUCCCCGUCUAAUACAGAGUUGCCAAAUCAUUUUGGAUCUGCUUCAGUGAAGGUCCAAUCUGUUAUGUCUUCGAUCUACUCCCCGUCUAAUACAGAGAUGCCAAAUCAUCUUGGAUCUCCUUCAAUGAAGGUCAGAUCUGCUGUGUCUUCGAUCUGCUCCCCGUCUAAUACAGAGAUGCCAAAUUAUAUUGGAUCUGCUUCAAUGAAGGUCGGAUCUGCUUCAAUGAAGGUCAGAUCUGCUAUGUCUUUGAUCUGCUCUCCGUUGAAUAUGGAUAUGCCAAAUCUGUUUCUUCGAUUUGUUCUCUGACAGUACAGAGAUUCCAAAUCAUCUUAGAUCUGCUUCAACAUAAACACGUGAAAGCCAAAUCUGCUAUGUCUUUGAUCUGCUCCCCGUCUAAUACAGAGAUGCCAAAUCAUCUUGGAUCUGCUUCAAUGAAGGUCCAAUCUGUUAUGUCUUUGAUCUACUCCCCGUCUAAUACAGAGAUGCCAAAUCAUCUUGGAUCUGCUUCAAUGAAGGUCAGAUCUGCUGUGUCUUCGAUCUGCUCCCCGUCUAAUACAAAGAUGUCAAAUCAUCUUGGAUCUGCUUCAAUGAAGGUCAGAUCUGCUAUGUCUUCGAUCUGCUCUCUGUCGAAUAUGAAGAUGCUAAAUCUGUUUCUUCGAUUUGUUCUCUGACAGUACAGAGAUGCCAAAUCAUCUUAGAUCUGCUUCAAUGAAGGUCAGAUCUGCUGUGUCUUCGAUCUGCUCCCUAUCAAAUACAGAGAUGCCAAAUCAUCUUGGAUCUUCUUCAAUGAAGGUCAGAUCUGCUAUGUCUUCGAUCUGCUCUCCGUCGAAUAUAGAGAUGCCAAAUCUGUUUCUUCUAUUUGUUCUCUAACAGUACAGAGAUGCCAAAUCAUCUUAGAUCUUCUUCAGCGUAAACACGUGAAAGCCAAAUUUGUUAUGUCUUCGAUCUGCUCCUUGUCAACGCAAGGAUGCCAAAUCAUCUUGGAUCUACUUCGAUCUGAAGACAUCCGAAGGUUAGAUCUGCUAUGUCUUCGAUUUGCUCUCCGUCGAAUAUGGAGAUGCCAAAUUUGUUUCUUUGAUUUGUUCUCUGACAAUACAGAGAUGUUAAAUCAUCUCAGAUCUGCUUCAGCAUAAACACGUGAAAGCCAAAUCUGCUAUGUCUUCGAUCUGCUCCUUGUCAACGCAAGGAUGCCAAAUCAUCUUGGAUCUACUUCGAUGUGAAAACAUCCGAAGGUUAGAUCUGCUAUGUCUUCGAUCUACUCUCCGUCGAAUAUGGAGAUUCCAAAUCUGUUUCUUCGAUUUGUUCUCUGACAAUACAGAGAUGUUAAAUCAUCUUGGAUCCGUUUCAGCGUAAACACCUGAAGGUCAAAUCUGCUAUGCUUUAGCCUGUUACCCUACUGCUUAGGGGGUUAAGGCGCAUCAAUCUUCAUUGUCCCUUGAAAGACAUAACCUGUAUAAUACGUAUGAGUUCAUGCCUAAUGAUUAGGAUGCUAUGAUCGAAAUGAGUCAAAUGCUCCUAAUUAAACUUGUUAUAAUGCAAAAUGUUUAUGAAUAUGACCCCUAUUCCAAACGUCACCACUCAUUCUUUCGUCGAAGUUUAUCCUUAUUUCUCUCGAAGUAUCAUUCCUACUCAGCUUAUGGGCUUGUACCAUUCUUCAAAUGCUAUGACCCACCAAAAAUGUCUGUAAGAUGAUCCUCUCUUAGGAUCGAAUCGUUUGAUUUGUCUAAUCAUCAUUUUGGACUAAAGAAAGAAUUUCCUCGAGUUCUUUCAAACCUCACUUACGUGAAUUCUUCGAACAAUUGUUCUGUUUUAGUUUCUUGUAUUAUCUAGAAAUUUCCAGAGUAAUGAACAAAACUUCAUUUGUGAAAAUUAUUUAGUUCAUCUAUCAUUAUUUUAAUGCAACAUACUUUAAGAAUAAUGGAAGAUGAAUUUAAUCUUGAGAAUAAUUAGAUUUGAAUAAAUUUGUCAAAAAUACAAAGGAAAUUAAUCUGAAAGCUUAUCUUUGAGAAGAAAAAGAAUCUAAAGAUAGCAAACAGGACAAAAGUUAGAUGCCCUAGAUAUCGCCGCUUGAGCGUUUAUAUGCCAGCUCUAUAAAGACUUUCUUGAAUUCAACAUGUGUUUAAAAGAUCCAAAGUACUUUGUUGAUGCCCCGAUAUGCAACGCGCUUUACUCUUCGUUAAAUCAGAUUUAGCAAGAUUACCGUGUGCUCUUCAAAAUUUGAGCUGCUCUUUCGGGUUUUCAACUCAAAACCCCUUUGGUCACAAGGCGCCCUUUGCGGGUUUUCACCUUGGCCUCUCCAUUUUUUUUCGAAAACUCAAGGCGCCCUUUGCGAGUUUUCACCCUGAAUUCUUCUCUCCUUUAGACAAAGUAAUUUUUGAUUGAGUCUGAAUUCAUUAGAUUGGGCAAACUCUUCCCAUCUAUUUCCGUUAAGAUCAAUGCACCCCCAGAGAAGGUCUUCUUUACGACAUACGACCCUUCCCAAUUUGGCGUCCAUUUUCCUCUAAAGUCCUUCUAAAUAGGGAGGAUCUUUUUCAGCACAAGAUCCCCCUCAUGGAAUUCUCUUGGUCGCACUUUCUUGUCGUAAGCUCGCAUCAUUCGCUUCUGAUACAUCUAACCAUGACAAAUGGCCUUUAGCCUAUUUUCCUCAAUCAAGUUCAACUGAUCAUAUCGCGAUUGUAUCCAUUCAGCUUCAUUCAACUUUAUCUCUGACAAGACUCGAAGAGACGGUAUUUCCACUUCAAUGGGUAACACUGCUUCCAUCCCAUAAACCAACGAGAAAGGAGUUGCCUCGGUAGAAGUUCUGACAGACGUUCGGUAAGCUAAGAGUGCAAAUGGUAACUUUUCAUGCCAGUCUCUGUAGGUUUCAGUCAUUUUCCCCACUAUUUUCUUGAUAUUUUUGUUAGCAGCUUCCACUGCCCCAUUCAUCUUUAGGCGAUACGACGAAGAGUUAUGAUGCUUAAUCCUGAACUGAUUGCAAACUUCUGCUAUCGUUUUGUUGUUCAAGUUCAGUGCAUUAUCUGAUAUGAUCCUUUCAGGCAUCCCAUAUCGACAAAUAAUCUCUUUUUUCAAGAAACGACUUACAGCUGACUUAGUAACAUUCGCAUAAGAAGCAGUCUCUACCCACUUCGUGAAGUAAUCAAUGACCAUAAAAAUAAAGCGAUGCCCAUUUGAAGCUUUUGGUGAUAUUGGCCUAAUGACAUCCAUGCCCCACAUAGAAAAGGGUCAUGGAGAAGUCAUAACGUGUAGAGGUGAAUGUGGUACAUGAAUCUUGUCUCCAUAAAUCUGACAUUUAUGGCAUUUUUUUGGCGUAGUUGAUACAAUUCCCUUCCAAAGUAGACCAAUAAUAUCCAAACCUCAUGAUUUGUCUAGCCAUCGUGAAAUCAUUAGCGUGCGCCCCACAAACACCUUCGUGAACUUCUUCCAAGAUUAACUUGGCUUCUACAGCGUCAACACAUCUCAACAGUACUUGGUCCUUUCUUCUUUUGUACAAGAUGUCUCCAUCCAAAACGUAGUCGCAAGCUAAUCUCCUUAAAGUUCACUUAUCAUUUUCAGUUGCCUGUUCUAGGUAUUUACGAUCUCUCACAUAUCGCAAUAUAUCCUGAUACCAAGGGUUAUCAUCCUUUUUUUCUUCCUCAAUAUUACAACAGUGAGCUGGAGCCUCGAAGAUACUCAUCUGAAUGGGUCUCAUCUCCUCCUCUUCAUUCACUUUAAUCAUUGAAGCCAAGGUUGCUAGAGCAUCUGCCAUCUGGUUUUCGUCUUGUGAGAUAUAAUUGAAAGUGAUGUCAUCGAACUCCUCAAGUAACCCCAAAAUUACCUUUCGAUAAUUGAUCAAUUUAGGAUCCCUCGUCUCCUAUUCACCUUUAAGCUGGUAAAUUACCAACGUAGAGUCUCCAUAAACUUCCAAGGUUCUUAUUUUUCGCUCUAUAGCUGCUCAGAGUCCCAUAAUGCACGCUUCAUACUCGGCCAUAUUGUUUGUGCAAUCAAAAUCCAACUUGCACGUGAAUGGAUAAUAGUCACCAUUUGGGGAUACCAAGACUUCCCCAAUUCUAUUUCCCACUACAUUGGAUGCCUCAUCAAAGCUCAACUUCCAAGGAUAAUCUUCUGAAGCUGCUACACACAUCAACUCCUCAUUUGGGAAAUCAAAAUUCAACGGCUCAUAGUCUUCUAGAGCUCUACUAGCCAGAAAUUUCGCUAUCGCACUUCCUCUUAUAGCCUUCUGGCUCACAUAAACUAUGUCAAACUCUGAAAGCAGAAUUUGCCACCUCGCCAUUCUUCCAUUCAAAGCUGUUGACUCCAUCAUAUACUUUAGAGGAUCAAAGUUUUAAAAUAAGACAAGUAGUAUGAUACAACAUAUAUUGCCUCAACUUUCGAGUCGUCCAGAUUAAAGCACAACACAAUUUCUCAAUUGGCGAAUAUCUCAUCUCACACUCUGUGAAUUUCUUGCUGAGGUAGUAUAUCGCCUUCUCCUUUCUUCCCGACUCGUCAUGUUGGCCAAGCACACAUCCCAUAGAAUUGCUAAACACUGAUAAGUAUAGAAUUAAUGGUCUACCUGGAUUAGGUGAAGAUAACACAGGAGCAUUUAACAAGUAUUGCUUAACCUUAUCGAAAGCACUCUGGCAUUCUCAUCCCAAGUACCUUGGUUGUGUUUUCUAAGGAGGCGAAAUAUAGGGUCACAUUUCUCAGUUAAUUGUGAAAUAAACCGAGCAAUAUAAUUCAACUUUCCAAGAAAACCCCAAACUUCUUUCUGAGUACGCGGUGAAGGCAAAUCUUGUAUGGCUCUAACUUUGUCUGAAUCAACUUCUAUUCCUUUUUCACUGACCACAAAACCUAGUAAUUUCCCCGAUCUGGCUCCGAAAGUGCAUUUUGCCGGAUUAAGUUUUAACUGAAACUUCCUUAAUCUCAAGAAUAUUUUUUUUAAAACCUCAAUAUGUUCCUCCUCUGUUCAAGAUUUGGCAAUCAUAUCAUCAACAUACACCUCAAUUUCCUUGUGCAUCAUAUCAUGAAAUAAGGUCACCAUAGCCCUUUGGUAUGUUGCCCCUGCAUUCUUUACCUCAAAGGGCAUUACCUUGUAACAAAAAGUCCCUCAUAAGGUUAUGAAGGUGGUUUUAUCCAUGUCUUCAAGAUGCAUCUUUAUCUGAUUGUACCCUGAAAAACCAUCCAUGAAAGAGAAUAACGAAUAUUUCGCUGUGUUGUCUACCAAAGUGUCUAUGGGAAGCAGAGGAAAAUUAUCUUUUGGGCUAGCUUGUUCAAAUCCCUGUAAUCAACACACAUUCGUACCUUCCUAUCCUUCUUAAGAACUGGUACAAUGUUAGCUACCCAUUCAGAAUACUUCACCUCUUGUAAGAAUCCUGCAUCGAACUGUUUCUUGACUUCAUCCUUUAUUUUUAAUACGAUAUCUGGUCUUAUUCUUCUCAACUUCUGUUGAACUUGUUUACAAUCCUGUCUUAUUGGAAGAUGAUGCACCACAAUAUCAGUAUUUAACCUUGGCAUAUCUUGAUAGGACCAUGCGAAGAUAUCUUUGAACUCACAUAACAACUCAAUCAGUCCUUGCCUUAUAUCAUCAGCAAUAUGCGUGCCAAUUUUCACCUCUUUCCCUUCCUCUAGGGCUACAUUCGCUACUGCCUCUUUCUCAUGUAGCAUGAUUUGUUUCUCCUCUUGUUUCACCAUCCUCAAAAGAUCUAGAGACACAUCACAAUCCUAGACAUCUUCAAAAUCCUGUGAUUCCUCUAAACACAUGUCUUGCUCACGAGAGAAAUCAGGAUUUGUAAUAUCAAUGCUCAUGUCAUUGAUAUCUAGGGAUCUGUGAAGUAUAACGAAUAUACAAAGAAUGAAUAAAUUUAAGAAUGAUUAUUUAUGUGCUAUGAAUGAAAGAAUAAGAAUCGCUAAAAUUUAACGGAAUAUUGGUUGAUAAAAAUGAAACAAUACUCGUUCAAAUUGAUAAAAGUUAUACUUUAUUAAAAAAAAAUAGAUGAUUGUAAGCCCAUUUCACAAAUGAAAUCCUAUUACUCCUAGGCUCUAGAGUAAUAAGAAUGUUUCGAGAAUUACUCUGAAAAAUUCCUAAAGACUAUAGGAAGUUCCUCCACAGUCCAAUUGUUCAGAGAGCUACCCGGUUCAUAAGGGCGAAUGCCCUCAAGGUUUCCUUGCUCCUUCAUUCCUCUCUUUAGAGAUUAUCAUCUCUCUUUUUCCCAAAUCAUCUUCAUCGGCGUUCUCACCUCAGCCACGCCUUCUUUUAUUCUCCUCUCACUGGUUUCACCAAUGGUGUUUACUCCUUGAUCGCUAUGAUUUGGUAAUGGGUUCUCAGUAUUCGGGGUAUUAUCGAACUUCACUACCCAUAUCUUAAUAAGCCUUUCUACGGCCUUCUUAAAACCAAUAUAAUUUUCAAUCGAAUGCCCCGGUAUUCCAGCAUGGUAUUCGCAUCUGGCGUUUGCGUCAUACCAUUUAGGAUAUGGGAGCUGCAAUGGCUUAAGGUGAAAAGGAGAAAUAACAUGUACAUCGUAUAAGCUUUGAUAGAGCUCACGAUACGUCACGGGGAUAGGUGUAAAUUGCAUCCUUUUAGAAUUCUGCCUUGUACCUGACUCUUGCCUUUAAGAACUCUGUUGCUCAACCGCAAGUGUUUUAGGUUGACCAACUGUGAUUUCCCUCGUGUUGAAAGUGCUUGUGUUAUUCACUUCACUAUCCUUUCUCUUUGGGGCUGAUCUUUUAGUUGUUUUCCCCUCAAUUUUGCCACCCGUUAUGGCAUUCUCAAUCAUCUCUCCCGCCAUAACUAUAUCCGCAAAGCUUUUGAUGGUGCUCCCAAUCAUGUGAGUGAUGAAUGGAGCUUUUAGAUGUUGAUGAACAAUAUGGUAGUCUCAUUCUCCACCAACGGUGGUUGAACUUGCAUUGCUACUUCUCUCCAUCUCUGUGCAUAUUGCCUAAAAUUUUCAUUAGGCUUUUUCUUCAUGUUUUGCAGCGUGAUCCUAUCCGGAGUCAUGUCAGUAACAUGAUUGUACUGCUACAUGAAGGCCUGUGCAAGAUCCCUCCAUGAACUUAUUCUGGCCCGGCUCAGUUGAUUAUACCACUUGGCUGCUGCUCCAAUUAAACUGUCUUGGAAACAGUGAAUCAACAAUUGAUCAUUAUUCACAUACCCAGUCAUCCUCCUACAGAACAUCAUAAUGUGGGCUUCUGGGAGAGUAGUCCCAUUGUACUUCUCAAAUUCUGGCAUCUUGAAUUUUUGAGGAAGCACCAAGUCUGGGAUCAAGCUUAGAUCUUUGGCAUCUACCCUAUGAUGCCCAUCAGCAUUCUCUAAAGCCUUGAACUUUUCCUCCAACCAUUUGCAGCGAUCUUCUAACUGUCUUGCAGCCUCAGUUCUUAGAUCCUCUUUUUUAGUCUUGUCUAAGUCAGGAAUGACAAGAUUUGCAGGAUUGUCACCCAAAUUGAAUCCUGAACCAGUUGGGAAAUUUGUGGGGAUCCCAGUAUUGACCAACCCUUGUUGGGGCCUUAUAGUGACAGAUGGCCUCCUAGAAAGUACCUUGGUUUGUGUAGCCACGUGGGGUGGGGUGGGGUGAAACCUGGAGGAUGAUCCUCACCCUCCUCGCCAGUAAUUGCCAUGGGAGCCUUUCCCUUAUCAGUGGCCCUUAGAAGUUGGGCCAUCUUAGCCAUCAUGUUCCUUUGUGCCUCCAACAUUUGCUCCCUCAUGUCGUUUUGCAUCUUUGCCAAUUGCUCUUGCAAUUGGUCCUGCAUGUCCUUCUGUAACUGUUCAAAUCUUUGGUCCAUGUUCUUACUUUUUGCACGAGUUCCGUAGUGAUGUGUUGCUUCCAAAUUUUCUUUCUCUUACUCUCUUUCUCCCUAUUAAUUUUAACUAAUUAGAGUCUUUCUAUAAACUUGAAUGCAUAUGAUACAAUGAGAUGCUAUGAAAUGCAAAUGCAUGAAUGCAAAAAGAUGUCGAUUCUGAUUCAAUUUCAUUUUAGAAAACGUUAUUUAAGGAACAAAAAUCUUUUCAUAAAACGGAUUACAAAUACGCUUUCGCCCGUAGGCUUAGAGUCUUAACCCUAUCUAAUAACAAUGUUAACUCUCGUCCUCUGUCUGAAGAUGACUCAUACAUUAUACUCAGUGUUCUAGCUUGUACUGCCAAAUCCUGCAAGUGUUCAGCAACCUCUUGAAUCUAAACUAAGGCUUCUCCCAUGAGAUAAUCCCUAUUUCUAACUUGAUCCUGAAGAUGGUGAAGUUCUUCCUUCCACUGUUCUUCUCUUGCCUCGAGCUGCUCAAUUGAUAGCUCACAGCCCUGUAGUGCUACUUCCAACCUUCCUAUAUCGUGUUUUAUUUCUUCAAUCUUAUUUAAGCUUACUUUUAACUCGAUUGUGAGGUUACGACUUCGGUGAUGAUGAAGAGAUCGUCUCCUUCUCUAGGGCCUGAUUACGCGACUGCAUCUUUUGGAACUUCUUCUCCCAAUACUCGACUUUGGCUCUUUCUUCCUGAAUCUCUUGCUGCCAGUGCUCUAGAGAUCUCCCUAAUCCGACCCUUUUCAACGUUACCUGGGCCUUUUUGUAGUGCGUCUUUAAAUCAUCUCGAUCUUCCUCGAUCUUUCUCUUUUCCUUUUUCACCUUCUCGACUUCCAUCUUUUGAACAUCGACGUCGAGACUUAAGCACAUUUUUUCCUCUUCGAGCUUCUCAAUCCUCUUUUCAAUCUCCGAAUUCUUUCUCUCGAACUCUUGCUUCAUAACCUCCAACUCUGAUGGAAUCACUCGUAAGCUCUCCUCUAAUGAUCGAGCCACUCCCAAAAUUGGCCUAGGGACAUUAUCGUUGACUCUUCUACUAAACCACCCUUUAUACUCAAGGAUUGACGUCGAGCCUUCGGUUAAGAUCUUCAUACAGAAAGACUUCUUCUAAGCCUCAGAAACCUCUCGCAUCUUCUUCUUAUAGUGAUCUCCUUUAUAAGAGAAAUCACUUUGAGCUAGACCCUGUGUAAUCGGUAUGAACUGCCUCGCUCUAUAUUGCCUUAGAACAAGCAAUGGUGCAUAUCCAACAACUCCCCAAAUUUCUGGCAAAGGGACCCAAUCAAAACUGCCACAGUGGUAAAGGACUUCACUAGGAACCAACCAAGGAGCUUUCCACAUAACAUCUUCCUCUCGAAGAUUCUGAAGAAUAUCUAUCCACCUCUCCUCUGAAAUGUUAUCUCUCAUCGGCAUGUCUACUGCUUCUUUUAAGGGAGAAUAACCCUCAAAGAAUACUCGGCAAGGAACCUUAUCAAGCUUCCAAAAAUGACUAUGGAACCAAACCAACAGCAACUGUGCACAUCCAAUGAAUCUACCUUCGCCGGCUCUCCGACAUGCACUCAAAGAUCUAAAUGUCUCAACUAGGAUUGCUUGUAUCGGUGUAUUCUGCUUACCAACGCGAUCGAACAAACCCGCAACUGCCUCAUCUAUGUGCCCCAAUGCCUUUGGGAAAAUCACCAUGCCGUAAAUACUCAAAUCCAGGACGUCGACCCUUUUCUUUACGUCUGGAUGUGUUGAUAUCAAAUCCCUCAAAAUGGCCCAUGGAACGCAAUUACUAUCACCCUUUUGCUGUAUACGAGCUACAGCCCACUGCUCACUCAUCCCAUAAUUAUCACUAACUUCUUUGCAAAAGUUGGAAGACUAGCAGGCCUAACAUAAGCCUUGUGACCCUGAAUCCUCGGGCAACGCAGUAAAGUCGUAUACUCCUCCAAAGUAGGUGGAAGAUCAACAUCACCAAAUGUAAAGCAACUAUAAGCAGGGUUUCAGAACUGUACCAUAGCUCGAAACAAGUGCCUAUCUACUUUGACAUCUAGCAAAUAGGGAAGGUCCCCAUAAUUCUGAUAGAAAAGCUGCUUAGCCUCGUCAUCCCAUUGGGCCCAAAUGUUUCUCAGCUCCUGAAACUCAUUCUGUGUCGAAUUAAUACGGGUGAAGUCCUAUAACUCUAAUGUAUAUCCCUCGGUGACACUAUCUCCUUUCUCUAACUGGGUUUUCUCUGACCAGGUACAGACAGAAGCAUUGUCCUCCACUUUGUCAAGGUAUUCAUUCCUCAUUACAAAACUUUCUAAUCUAGAAAUCGAGCCGUGAAUCGACACCUUUAAAUGCCAAAUGACAUGCAAUGACAGCAAAAUAAAAAUAGGUCAGUAUCAUAAAAAAAUGAUAAACAAGUACUUACAAUGGUAGCUUACUAAAGGCUAUCACUAUUUUUCCUAAACUCUUUAAAGUUUACUAUAUGAGUUUUAUCUCUAAAGCCAGGGUACUUAAACCAGCAGAUUCCUUGGUCUUCACCCAUUAUAGGCUCAUAUAGACCAAGUUCAGUUCAGGGGGACACAUUUCCCUAUGGCCAUACAGAGAUGAAAAUCUCACGAAUACAUAGGUACAGUAUCCAAGAAGCAAUCCACUAGCUCAUACGAAGGUGAAAACCUUAAGAAAGCGUAGCUUCUCACUCCCACUUAAGGGUGUGACCACAACAGUCAUGCAAAUGCAAUGUACUGCAAUAAGGUAACAAACAUAUGCAACAAACACAUGUAAAAAGGAUCCAAUUUUAAAUUUUCCAAACUUCCGACAUUAAGACAGAAAAUACUCAGUUUCUUGGCCUGAGUCUCUUAUUUCCCCAAUGGAGUCGCCAAGCUGUCGAAACCAUUCUUUAAAGGGAUGUUUGAAAAAUGGGGAUCGACUUUUGAAAAACGAAAACGGGAGUCGCCACCAACCUUUUUAGAUGUGAUUGGAUCACCUUAUAAAACGUUUUGGUUUACGAAAAUUAAGAAAACAGGUUCGGGAGUCGGUUACGUACGAGGAAGGAUUAGCACCAUCGCAACACCCAAAAUUGGUACCAAAUUGAAUAGUUUUCUGUCUUAAUGUCAAAAGUUUGAAAGAAUUUAGAAAUAAGAUUUCUUUUAAAACUGUAAUCUUUUGAGUUAAAAAAUAAUCAAGGUUCCUUCACUUCAAAAGAGUACAAAUAUCACAUCCAGCAUAAUUGGACACGAUAUCUUUAAACUUUCGUAGCUGAAAUCAUCUUAUGAUUUGUAAAACUCGUUUAAAAGGAUAUUUUAGAUAUUCAGACAAACGGGAAAUCGCAACCCAGCAUGUUAGGGCACUACUUUCCGAAUUCCUAAAUAUCAAAAACAUUGCCUCAUUUUAGAAAAACUUUUCGAUAAAAUAUGACAAUUAAAUGAAAUAUAUUUUUUUAAAAAUAAUUAUUUGAGUAAAAUUUAAAAAAUAAUUUACUAAGAGUAAUACUAAAAAAAUAUUAAAAAAUAAAAGAGUUUGAUAUGAUACUAAAAUUAUUAAAAAAAUAAAAUAUAUAAAAAAAUUCUAGGAAACAUGAAUUAAAUCAAAAUAAAAAGGGUUGAAAAACGAAGAUGAAUAAAGUAUAAAGUAAGAACAAACCGUAGAAAAUAAGAACGUAAGAGGGAGAGAAAUUUGAGUGAAAGCUCUCAAAAAUUUUUAUUAUUUCCCAAAACUCCAGUGUCUUUACAAUGAAGGGAGAGGCCUCUAUUUAUAGUUGAACCUCCUCAAAUCCGACAGUAUAGAUCAAUUACAUCAACGGUUAAGAUUAAAAGGUAUCUCCAAAUUAAAUCUCUAAUAUUACAAAAUCAUAUCUUCUAAGAUUGCGUAUCAUAUCUAAGAUUGCAUAUCAUUGAAGAUUAUAUUCCAUAUGAGUCAAGCUUGUAGAUGGACCUUAAAUCUUUUCAAGUAAUGGGUCAUUUCGAUCGGGCCAAAUUAUAUUUGUAAUUCUGGACUGAACUUAAACUUCGUUUUUUUUUGUUUAUUAUUUUUAUUUUCAUACGAAUAAAAUUAAGUGCCUACAGUGCUUAAGCUAACAUCUACUUACACUCAGUCUAGUUGUACAAAAAUUGUUUAAUGCUUAUGAAGCUAUAUAAAGCUAGGAAUAAACAUAUUGAAAUAAAAUAUAACAAGUGUUUUUACUAAAAUAGCUUAUUUUUCAUUAUUUUAUCUUGAAUAGAUAGUGAUUUCAUUUUUUCAAAGCAUGCGUUUCAUUUGGGAAGCACUCAUUGCAUAGAAGACCUAACCCACCUUAAAAACCUACAACCACUAGGUACUGAAUAAGAAAUUAAUGAAGAGUUUAGAAAAAAUCACUAACCUUUUUUGUUGCGUAGAGAGACUUAACACUUAAAAGAGACAAAACUCUUCUUUCAAAAAACUUCGCAGCCUACCAUUAUCUCUUUAAAAGCCAUCCGUUCAAUUUAGGCUUUUUUUUAUAAAAAUAACUUAAAAUUUUUAAUUAAUUAUUAAAAUAACUCAUUUUUUUAAUUAAACUCAAAAAUAACAUAAAAUUUACAGUAAAAGUUGGUGGAGCCAAACUCUUUGGCUCCACCAACAUGCCACGUCAGCAACAAAAAAAAUUAUUUUUUUAAUAGAGUCAUGUAAAAUGGCGACACCUAUAUAAAUAUUAGAGAAAUACUACAAUUUCUUAAAAUAUGAAAGACUUUAAAAAUAAAUUUUCAUUUGGCGCCAAUAGAUUCGCUGACACCCUUUUAGUUUUUUUUUUUUACUUUUUCAAAUUUUAUCUUUAUCCUUAUUUAUUUUAUUUAUUUUUUAUUAUUAAUUUUAAAAAAAUUGAAAUGUAUAUUUGAAAUAUUUUAUAUAUUUUUUUUAAAUUUUAAAUAUAUAUUUGAAAUUAUUUUUAAAAUUUUAAAUAUUAAAUAUAUUUUUAAUAAUAUAAAAUAUUUAAAUAUUUUAAAGAUAUGACAUUUUAAAUUUAUUAUUAGUUUUAUAAUAUUUUAAAUGUAUAUUUUAAAUUUUAAAUAUUUUUUAAAUUUGUUUUAAAAUAUUUUAAAUUAUAAUUUUUAAAUUAUUUAAAAUAUAUUAUUUUUAAGAUAUAACCUCUCAAAUUUGUUAUUUGUUUUUUAAUAAUUUAAAUAUUUUUUUAAAUAUUUUUAACUUUUUUUUAUAAAUUAUUUUCAAAUAUUUUAAAGAUAUUCACAUUUUUUAAAUUAAUUUUUUUAAUUAUACUUUAAUACUUUUUUAUAUUCUUUUAAUAAAAAUUUUAAUAUUAAUAUUUUAAUUUGGUGGACCAUAAGUAUUGCUCCACCUCUUGGAUCUCUACCAUAUAUAGAAUGGUGAAAUUGUUGUGUUCACCACGAGAGUUCAAAAAAUCUAUUCAAGAUGAAUUUUUUGGUGUGUUCUUUUUUCUGGUGAAUAUAAAGGUGGAGGUUGGUUGUUUAUUUACGAUAAAAAAAUGUGAAGCUAGCAUAAUGUAAAGGAAGAUCAGUGCAGAAAUAGCUAGCUUUGUGGAAGGCGAUGUCCAAAUUAUUUACAAGUUUCCAGUCUCUACAGAUCCAUUCAAAUUUUUGUGAGAUGUAGCUGUUAGAUGAUAAUGACUUGGGCACUAUGAUGGAAAUAUGGUGGUCGACUGGGAGUGAAAACCCCUAACCAGUUGAAUUAUUUGCUGAGUUAGCAGACUUAGAGCUUGUUGAAUAUGAUAAAUCAAUUAUCUAUAUAAUUUUUUAUAAAAAUAUAUUAAAAGGUUGAGAAAAUAAAAACAUCACACUUAUACUAUACCAAUAUCAUUCUAAGUAUUUUUUAUUUAAUUUAAAUUAAAUAUUAAUAUGUUAAUAAUAUAUUAAUAAUAGAAUGAAGAUUUGUCAUAAAAUAUUAAUAAUAACACGUAGAAAUCACAUGUGAUUAUUAUAUCCUAAUCAUAGUUAAGCAUUAAAACUAAAGGCAACCAUAUAACUACAAAAAGUAGGCUUUUAUUUAUAAAAUUAACCAAAAAAAUUUAAUAUACAAUAAUAUAUUUUAAUAUAUUAAGUAUAUUUUAUACUCAACAUUUUCUUUUAACAUAUUUAAAAUUUUAAUAUAUUUAAAAUUUUUUAAGUUUUUUAAAAUUUUAAAUAUAUUAAAAAAUCUUUUUCUCUUUUCCUAUUAAAAAUAUAUUGAAUAUAUUAAAAUUUUAAUUUUUUUUAUACUUAACAUUUUUUAAUAUAUUUAAUUUUUAGAAAAUAUAUUAAAUAUAUUAAAAUUUUAAAAUUGGUUAUACUUAACAUUUUUUAAUAUAUUUAAUUUUUUAAGUUUUUAAAAUUUUAAAUAAAUUAAGAAAAACUUUUUUUUUCUUUACCUAUUAAAAUAUAUAUUAAGUAUAUAAAUUUAUGAAUGUGUACGAAAGUUAAAAAAUUAUAAUUAACACGUAAAGAUUAAUUUCAUGCAAAAAAUAGUUAAAAAGGAAUAAUAAUAAUAACUAAAUAGAGAUCAGUUUCAUGCAAUCAAAACACGUUGAGCAAAGUAGUGCUUGGCAAGAAAAAGAGAAACUAAAAUGAUUUUUUAUUUAAUUUAUAAUUAAUUUUACUAUUUCGUUGAUCCUCGAUGAAGUGUGAUCCGUAUUUACUCUAAAAGAUAUUUUGAUAUUUACAUAAUAUAAAAAAUAUAAAUACAAUAUAAUUAAUUAUUAUAUUACAAUAACUAUAAAUUAUAAAAAAAACAAAAUAAAAAUUUUAAGUAACUUAUUUUUUUUCCUCUUUUUUUUCUUCUAAAGGGGGACCAAACCCCCUUAUAUAACAUUCAUCCCUUCUUUUUUUUUUUUUUAAUUAAUAUUUAAGUAUAUGACUGGUCACAUAGCUGACAUGAUGUGACCAGUUAUAAUAUAUAUUUUUAAUUUAUAAUUUAAAUUUUUACUUUUUAAUAUAUAUAUAUUUAAAUAAAUUUAUUUUUUAACAAAUAUUUUUAUUUUUUCUAAUUAAUUCAAAUUUCACUUUUUUUAAAUAAAAUAUUAUUUUUUAACUUUUAAAUAGAAUUUUAAAAAAAGUUUGAAUAUCUUUAAAAAUAAUUUAAAAAUCAUAAUUUAAAAUAUUAUAAAGCUAAUAAUAAAAUUGAAAGGUCAUAUUUUUAAAAUAUUUAAAUAUUUUAUAUUAUUAAAAAAUAUAUUUAAAAUUUUAAAAAAUAUAUAUUAUAAAAUAUUUCAAAUAUACAUUUCAAAUUUUUUAAAAUUAAUAAUAAAAAACAUAAAUAAGGAUAAAGACGAAACUUAAAAAAUUUAAAAAAAAAAGAAAGAAAGAAAGAAGGACAAAAGUUGAAAAAAGUAUUAAAAAAAAGUAAAAGGGUGUUAGUGAAUCUCGUGGCACCAAAUGAAAUGGCUCUACUAGAAAAUAGAAUUUUUUUUAAAAUCCCUCGUAUUUUUAGAAAUUGCAGUAUUUUCCUAGUAUUUAUAUAGGUGGCGUCAUUCUAUAUGGCUCCACUAAAAAAUUAAUUUUUUUUCCUGGUUGUUGACGUGGUAUGUUGGUGGAGCCAAACUCUUUGGCUCAACCAACUUUUACUGUAAAUUUUAGGUCAUUUUUGUGUUUAAUUAAAAAAAGGUAAUUUUGAUAAUUAAUUAAAAUUUUUAAGUUAUUUUUAUAAAAAAAGCCAUUCAAUUUAUUAUCUAUUUCUUUCGUUCUUUUCUCUUUUUUACCCUCCAAAGAUUGUCAUUUUUUUCAAGCUAUUGAUGUAAAAAGACAUGAUAAUAUAGAGAACAGGAGCGAGAAACUUUUUUUUUUGCUUGACUCAGUUGAUUUCGUGAAAAUAAAAAAAAGUGGUUUUCUUUUUUUAUUUAGUUCUAGAUAAUUUGGCUCAAAAUUACAAAAAAAAAAAAAACCAAUUCAAUUCGUUUUUAAUUGGUUUAUUCAAUUCAUAAUUCACGAUUUAAUCGUAGUUUACAUCGGUUUCUAUGUCAAUUAACUUUCCACCUUAUUUUAGACCGGUGCUAUUUGAUUUUGGUUCAAUUUAUCUAACCAAUUAGUCUAGUCCAAAUUCAACAACCACGAGUUUAAUUGUUUUUUAGCAAAAAAAAUUAUGGGCCAUAGUCUAUAAACUCGGGUAUGAUAUAAGCAUCAUUGAUAUUAAUAUUACUAGAAUAUGACAAAUUAAUAAUGUGGUUGAAAAAAAUUAUUUAACAGAUAUAUUUAUAGAACAAUUGAUUUAAAAAUCAAAUGAAGUUUUAGUUGAAAUGGUAAAUACAUUAUAGAUUAUAAUGUUUUGGGUUCGAAUAUCAUUUAGCACAUUAUUUUAUAUUUCACAUGAUUUAAAAUGAAAAAAAUAUCUCAGAGCAAUGUUUAUUAGUUUAUAAAAGGCAUAAUGACUUAUUUACCCCUCCAACUUUAUAAAAAAAUCAUUUCAGCCCUCCAUUUAUUUUUAUUAUAUGUUGAUUUUUUUUAUUAAAUGUUGAUACUUACACUUUACAUUGUACGAUGUUAUAAUCCAUUCAAACCAUAUAAUUCAACCAAUUUAUUGAUUGUUUGCAAUUCCCUAUCAACUGUUUCACGUAUAGAUACCAAUUCGUCCUUCCAACAGUACGUCGUAUAAUCUCGAUGCCUAGACCACCUAUUAUAUCACAAGGUUUCAAUAAAUCAAUAACGUCACAUAGUUCUAAAUGCUCAAAAAGGGACCUCUUGAAGAUUAAAUUUAGUGUUCCUUAUUACAGAACACCUGCCCACUAGAAGCCCCGUCAACAAAUGGUACAUCCUUUAGUGUUAUUGUCACUUCGUCACAUGGGAGAUGGAGUAUAUGGGUCUCUAAUCUCUAUUGUUCAAUCAAAGCAUAUAAGAAUGUCAUGAGAAAAGUAACUCUUCCUAUUUGACUUAGGUAAUAAAAAUCAGCUUCUUUUAAUUGUUGGCUGAUUCUCCCAUCACACACAUCCAAACUCAUGUUUCCACAAACUUGAGUGAUAAGAGAAUACUCCAUUAUAGUUGCUUCUUGAGAAAGAUGUAUGACUUCAAAUCUCAAUAAAUUGACAACUAUUACAAAAUAAUUAAGUAAUGUGUCUUGGUAGUUAGCUAGAAAGUUGUAGCACAACUAAAGUUUUUAUUUCUAGUGGAAUCUUACAAUACUAAUGCGAGUCUCAAGACCCAAUUUCAGAUUCAUGGAUAUGAUGAGCCCACACUACCUCAAUGCCCAACAACAAUGAUAAAGGUCAAGCAAAUCAAAACAAAUGUCGAUCAAAGACAAUAUGAGAGGAUUAAUUUUUCAAGGAAACGAGGAAUGAUACAUUCACAGAAUGUGUGAAAUUUGUUAAAGUCAAUUCGACCAAACUACCAAUUUUCAAAAUGAAAAGAUUUGUCAACUUGCUAUGAAUUUUUGGAUGAGAUCCACACAUUUAUGGGUUUAUAUGUUUGCAUAAUGUUUAAAGAGCUAUCUCUUAGCUUCAAAACAUACUUUGAAUCACUCGAUUUCGAGUUUGAGAGCUCAAGUUAUGAUCAUUUUAGUGAAGAUUGCGCGAGUAUAAUUUCUGAAUGGAAUUAUGACAGCAAUUACAAGUUUCGGGCUUUUAAUUUGAGUUUAAAGCAUAUUAGGUUUGUUUUUUAGGCUAAAUUUUUAUUAUAUAUGAGCCCAAUAUUGUAUUUAUUAGGUUUUAUUAUUUUAUUAUUUAUUUAUUCCAAAUUUUGGAUAUUGCUUAAGUAUUUUAAGUUGUUUAGGAGUUGUUGUUUCUUAGUCAAAUAAGAAAUUUUAGUUUAAAACUACUGUUUGUUUAGAUUAAUUUCAUAACUUGUUUAUUUCUUCUUUCAAGUUAGAUCCAAAUUUUUUUUGAGUCAAACAAUUUGAAUAUGAUCAUUUUUUCGCUCAUUCCUUAUCUUUUGGUUUCAAAUUUGAGCGUUUUAGGUGCUCUUUGUGUUCUUAUAAAUUAAUUUCCAACAAACAAACUCAAAACAACCUUCUUCUUUUUUUACCCAAAAAGUUUUUUGAAGAAAAUAUUUUUCAAUCGGUAAACGUUUUUCAAAUUAUUUGAAAUUUUAUAUACUGAUUCUUGGCACUCUUUUAGAAUAUAGAAAAAUAUUUCAAAAAAAAAGUGAUCGAAAAAGUGCAAAAACAGAAAAAAAAUAAAGAAUUAGAUUUGGUAUAAGAUUUGGGCGUUUUAGGUGUUCUUUGUGUUCUAAUAAAUUGAUUUCCAGCAAACAACCUCAAAACAACUUUUUUUUUACCCAAAAAGUUUUUAGAAAAAAUAUUUUUCAAUGAGUAAACAUUUUUCAAAUAAUCUGAAAUUUUACAUACUGAUUCUUGGCACUCUCUUGGAAUAUAGAAAAAUAUUUCCCACAAAAAAAAGUGAUUGGAAAAGUGCAAAAACAUAAAAAUACGAAACAAAAAAAAGAAAAAAAAAUUGUUGGAUUUUGUGCCAAAAUUUUCAAGAUCAGAUCUACACUAUUUGUGGAGACUCCAAUUUAAAUUUUGUAAUUUUUUAAAAUCGAGAAUGCCUCAAACGAAAAAUUCAAGUUGUUAUCUAUUGUUUUAGGUUUUCAGUUAGGUAGUUUAUUUUCUUUGAUUCUAACAUUAGGUUUUCUGUUGUUUUUAGUUUUUCUUAUUCUAUUAUGAGUUCUAACACAUUUCAACUUCUUGUGUAAAUAUGUACUGUCGAAACCAUCCUCCGAUUUAAAAAUUUUAAAUUUAAUAAAAAAGGGGAAUUGACUUUUGAAAAACAAAUGCAUGGAGUCGCCACCGAUCUUUUUGUUUUGGUGUGAUCGGGUCACCUAAGAAUGUGGUUAUUUUAAUAAAAUAUUUUCGGUUUACUAAAACACCGAUUAUGGUCUAUGAAAAUUUUAAAAAAGGGCUCGGGAGUCGGUUACGUAUGAGGAAGGGUUAGCACCCUCACUACGCCCAAAAUUGGUACCAAAUCGAUUAAAUACUGUCCUUAUAUCUAAAAUUAAAAAUGUUUUUGAAAUGUGGUUCUUUUUUAAUAACAUUUGAAUAACCCGAGUUGAUUGUCAAAAAUCUUCUUGUUUCGAAGUUCGAAAAUUUAUAAUUUGAAAAUCACAAAAGGAUGUUCAACUAUUUAGUCCAACGGAACACCGAAACCCAGCACAGUAGGGCACGAUUCCUCAAAUUUCCAAACAUUGAACAUAGUCUUUGUUUUAAAGGGUUUUCUUAAAAAAACAUGAGUGAAAACCUAAAGGAAUAUUCGAUCGUUUUGAACAAGCGAGAAAUCACAACCCAGCACGAUAGGGCAUGAUUCCCGAAUUGUCAAACACCGAGUAUUGCCUUCGUUUUAGAGGAUUUUUAGAAGACCUGAAUGGAAUCUCAAAGGGAUAUUUGAUUUUUUUGAGCAAACGAGAAAUUACAACCCAACACGUUAGGGCACGAUUCCACGAAUUGCCAAAUAUCAAACUUUGCCUUCGUUUUAAAGAAUUUUUAAAAGGCGUGAGUGAAAGUUUGAAGGGAUAUUCGAUUAUUUCGAGCAAACGCAAAAUUGCAACCCAACACGUUAGGGCACUAUUCUGCAAAUUGCCAAAUAUCGAAUCUCGUCUUCGUUUUAAAGAAUUUUUAAAUGAAUACUUGUAAAACUAGCUUAAAACGCAUUAAUUCGAUUUGAAAUAAGACGAAAUUAAUCAUAAAAUUUGGAUUUUGUAAAACCACAUUUCAUAAACCAAGUGGAAAAAUGAUGAUAUGGGGUAAUAGGCACAUACGAGAUACAAUCAAUUAACAAACUAAGAAUAAUAUGUCUUAUUUGAUCAACUAACAAAGUAAAUAAUUAAAUAUAACUAACUUAAAAAAUAUAACCUGACUACAAUCACGCAUGGGAAAUAGUUAAUAUAUAAUACAAUAAAGAAAAUAAUAAUAUAACAAUACAACUUGACAAAACAAUAGAUAAAAAUGUGCCAAAAUAAUGUACAUAGCAUGAUAUAAAAUAAAUUGAUCAUAAAAGCUAGCAUAUACUAGAAAUCGAAAUAUUUUAUAGAAACUAGGAAUAUGUAUAUAUGCACAAAAAUUUGAGUUAGAACAUCAAACAAUAAAAAUAUAGAGUAAAUAAUAUGUAUAUUUUAAUACAUAAAUGAUUAUUAGAAGCAUUUUGAAAAGAGAACUAUACAAAACGAUUUAAAUCCAAAACUGAUCGAUUAUAUACAAUAUACAUAAAUAUAGUAAUGGAUGUCAACAUAAAUUUUUGAAUCAAUUGCGUACAUGUUAGAAAGAUUUAAAACAAAUAGAUUAUAUGAGUAUAACCAUAUAAAAAUAUUUAAAAGAAUGUAUAUGAAAUGCUAACCAUGUAAUAUGAAACUAGUGAUUGUAUAAAAAUAAUUUGAAACAAGAUUUAUUCAUUCACAAUAAUUAAUGUCCAUGAAGUAAAAAGCUUAAUAUAAACAACGUUUAUACAAAAGGGUAAUAAUAUAGGAGAAUAUUUGAAACAAACAAUAUAUAUAAUACCAAAAUUGGAUUUAAAAGAAAUAAAGAAUAUAUUUGAGUAAAAUUAAAAAUACGAACAUAUUCAAAAGAGGAUUUAAAUAAGUAAUUUGAUAUAUGAAAAUGAAAUAUUAUACGAAUCAUUAAAACAUAAAAUUACAUGAAGAAAAUUUUAAAAUGAUUAUAUGAUAUAAUAAAAAAAUGCACAAAAUGUUUAUUUUUUUUUUUAAGAAAUACCAAAAUAGACCACACACAUAUAAUAAAGAAUGUAAAAAAAAUGAAAGGUUUCUCUUUUUUUUUAGACAAAAAGGUAUGAUAAAAAUAUGUUUUAUGUACGUAAGGUUUUAAUAUCUAUUCAAAUAAAUUCCAAAGAAAUAAUAUAGGUGAGGUAACAUAGGAUUAAUAAGAUACAUAGAAUAAAAUCUAACUUUAUCAUGAACUACGUAUAUUUAAUAGUAUAUAAGAAAAUUUGGAAGAUAUAUUAUACAAAAUCUUUAAAACCACACAAUAUACAAAACUACAAAAUGUCUUGAUAACUCAAAGAUAUAUACAUCCAUAUAUAAAAUAAGUAUUAAGUAAAAUAAAAAUGAAUAAUAGAUAAAAAGAAUUAAACAAAUCAAGAGGACCUAAUUAAAAUAAAAUUAAACUAAAAGGGUAAUUAAUAAAUAAAAUAAGUUACUGAAAUUGAAAGAAGAAUCAAAGCUUAACGUGUGCGAAUACAUAGGGACUAAAACCGGCAAUAUACCAGGUCCCCAAAGUGCAUCACUGAAGCGUAGACCAAAACGCAAACGCGCACAAACUAAAGGGGCAAAUUAAAGAAAGAAAGUAAAUGAGAUAAGGCGCAAUCGAAUGCGCAUGCACAAGGGGAGUGCCUGCUACGCAAAUUUCCCAUUUCAAGAAGGACGGCAUGUAUCUGACCCAAUAAAUGGCGCCGUUUUUCUGCAAAGGUUUUAAUGACCUGUGUCUUUUCUUUUCUUUUUAGAAGCCGUGCUUUUAACCCAAAUUAACAGCCCCCAAAAAUCUAUUUGCUAGGGUUUCUUUCGCCAGCAGCCGAACCACCAUAGUAUUUGGUGAUCAACAGCAUGCAAACAGUACCCGAUCCUGCCAUUGAAGGUCUCCGACCAUACCUAAAAGAAUUUGGUAAGUUAUUCGACCUUCUCUGUUUUUUUUUAAAGAAGCCUUCAAUUUGUUUUUUACCCUUUUGAAAACCAAGCGAAGAUUCGAAGUGAAACUCACGACCCUCACCCGUAUCUCCUCAUUUUCGAGAUGUUUUGGGCUUUCAUCGGUAUAAUUCACAUGUUAAAAGGGAAAUCGAACCAAAAAAGAAAAAAGAAGAAGAAGAAAUAAUCGAAAAAAAAACCAGGAAACUUGAAAUCACCUUUACUAUCUUUUUAUUUCUUUUCUAUGUAUUCGGUAUGCAAAAUAGUGUGCGUGUGUUCAUUCUUUUUACAAUGAAAAUGCCUAUGGCUUUAUAGCCAAAAUAAAAAAGAAAAGUACAACGUUCAUUUUCGUUUGUUUGCUACAAUUUCUGCUGCUUUUCUUUUGUCCUUUUGCAGGUACGGUGCUGGCUGCGUGGCUGCUGAAGACUGGAACGUACGGAGGCGUUGGGGGGGCUCGAUUGCGGCGCAAAGCGAGGGAGAGCCCUAGGGUUUCUGGAGUUGUAAUUUGGUCUUGGGCCAUUUGGGCUCGAUUUGUUUUGUUUGGGUAUUGGGCUACGGGUUUGCUUAGGUUUAGGGUUUAGUUAACUAUUGAGCUAUUGUAAUAUUUGGACUCUUGUGGACUUUUGGUUUAAUGAUUUAUUAUUUAUUUUGUAUUUAUUUUGGGUUUCUAGUGGGCCCGGACGAAUUUGGCCCAUUACAUGUACGAAAACAAUUGUCUCUCUUUUCUACGCGCAACUUACUUUCUUUGGAGUUGAUUUUUUCUUUGGCUUCUUAGAGCCUUAUGUCAACUUUGUUAGAGAGUGAUCCUACAUCUUUUCAAAUUUUAUUGAGUUUGAUUACUCUUUAAAAGUUACAAGGGAGAAAAUCUUAACAUCUUUUCUUUGUCUCCUAAAGUUGUUUUUUUUAGUGUAUAACGGUGACGUUUAAUAUUCUUUGAUCAACUUUACUUUUAUUUUUUUAGUAUUUUUUAUUUCAGCCUCUUGCAACACCCUAAAUUCGACCUAAAAGUUUAGACCAAAUCCCGGAUGCUACAUUGAUCACUGAAGUGAUCGUAGGUAAAUUUUUACAAAACAAAUUGUCACAUUGAACCGAAGCAUUUAAUCGAUCAAAAUUCAAUAAGUAGAAUUGUCGUUAAGUUAAAUAUAUAAUAGGAAUUAAAUAAAUGAAUAAAAUUUCAAAAUGGAACUUGUACCACAGCUUAAUUAAACCUUACAGUUCAAAAACCGAAUAACCAAAUAGAAACUGAAAAUACAAACUGAUAAUUUAUUUUUCACCGAAAAUGUCCGAGAUCUCCGCAUACCAAGUUUAGCAUCAUAAUUUUAAAAAGUACCUAAAAGGGGAAACACCAAGGGGGUGAGCUACUCGAGCUCAAUGUAAGUUCGAAAUGAGACUAAAAACAGAAUCACAAAAUUUAAUUCAACAAUGCAAUAGACUUACAGAUAUAAGCAGAAACAGAUACCAGACAAGGAACCAAUGCUCCAACACGCAAUCCGAACAAAGCACACCAAGUAUACACAGAACACUUAACACAUGUGUUAUUCAAACAAAUAGAGAACAGUUAGAUAAUAUUACAACCAAACAGAUGCGCAUAAAUGCAGUCAAGUACCAAAAUCCACUCAUCCAGUCAACACACCUCUCCGUCCCCCGAUCACACCCCAUAAGAGUUGUUUAAGCUCAUCCAACGAAAACACACCUUGUAGGCCCAUCCAACCCUACACACCAUAUAUUUGGAUUAAACCACUCAGAUAUUAAUAUGCAGUAGAGCUGGCAUAUGUGCUGUACAGUGCAAUACGGUGAUCCGCUGUACAGAUAAGUUGCAGUUUAAACUGCCAAAUCAGAUAAUAGUACGCAGCAAAGCUGAUGCACACAUGCAGUACAAUGUGAUAAAUCGCUAUACGAAUGAGUUGCAGUAGAACUGUUAGAUCAGAUCAAAAUCAGUCUUCAUUCUCUUCACAAUCCCACCUAAAACUUUACUUUAUGCAAGUGUAUGUAUGCAUACAACCUCACAGAACAAUGACACAUUAUCAGACAAUCAGACAGAAUAGAUAAGCACUCACACACCUCCAGUUACCAGGGUUUAGAAUAAGACAUCAAUCACAAAUUCACAUAAAUAGAGUACAUGGUCACAGCUAUCGAGACUUAAACACCCUCACUAAAGCUUAGCCAAGGGUAGAAUACACAGACGCAUUUUCAGAUCAAAAAUACAAUUCAGAUAAAAAACACACACAAGCUAAAAUUUGGUAUCUUAGGACCACACGGCCGUGUGCUCUGGCCUUAUGAAAAUGCCUAGGCUAUGUGGGAGGUCAAAAGCCUGUAAGAAGAAGGGCACAUGACUGUGUGACUAAGGCACAUGCCAGUAUGAAGGGAGGCAUUCGACCGUGUGAUUGAGGCACACGCCCGUGUGGACCAAGGACAUGGCCGUAGGAACAGGCUGUGUAACUCACUAUCCAAUUGUGCUAAAAUAGGGUACAGGGCAGACACAAUCGUUUGAAGGUCUUACACACCCGUGUGCCCACUAAACACGAUCGUGUGUCCAAAACACACCCCCAUAUGGGAUCUCUAAAUCCCUAAAUUAGCCACACGACCUGUAUACCCAAGGGACACGGCCGUGUGAAAAUUGAUAAAAUCCCCAAAUCGUCUACACAGUCAUGUGGCCAGGCCGUAUGGCUCCAAAACUUGCCAUAAAACCCUAAUUCCCCAAAGCACACAACUGUGAGAACUGGCACACGCUCGUGCGACCACCAAAAUGAUCACGAAACCACUUUGGAACAAGCCAAAAUUACCGUUUUAGCCUUCGAAAUAACCCCCAACCUACGCUAUGACAAGAGUAUAUUGGGAUAUGUAGUAUCCCCUGUACUUCUUCAACAACUAAUACCCAAAAUCGACAAUUUAGAGUACACUCAAGAAAUGUCAAUACAAUAAUCGCAAAAUAAACAUAGAUAAGACUCGAAUUUCACACUUGUUUUGCGAUCAAGGACGUCUAGAAUCUGACUCGUAGACCAAGAAAUCGGAGUUCUCUAGAACCCCCAAGCAAAACCGUUCAAAAGAAAAGGAAAAAAACAGAAAAGAACAAAAAAGGGAAAACAAGUCCAGAAACAAUCAAAAUAACUAAAAUAGAAAUAAAUAAAUAAAUAAAAUAAAAAAAUAAGUAGAAAUUAUUAACUUAACUUAAAACAAAACGUAAUAAAAUGCUUCUUUAAACGCCCACACAAAAACUCAAACCCAGAACCUAGAGGCAUACUAGCACACUACCAACCACUGGACCAACAGGCCCAUUCUGACAUUUAAACACACAACUAAACAUAAUAACGCAACCUUUUCACUGACCCUAUCCAUAAAUACCAAAACUUCUAACCCAAAAGUUCGGGGUGUUACACCUCUAAUACGAUUACACAUGCAUAAUAUGUAGAGGUUUUGGAACCUCCUACUAAUGGGGAUAAUUUUCUUAAGUCCCAUUGUCUUGUAGUGCAGUAAUCCCUUAACAUUCAAGUAGGGGAUGACUCUAACAAAGUGCAAAGGGCUAACAUCUUCCACUCGAGAUGCUUGAUUCAAGAAAAGUUGUAUUACUAAUAUUUAUAACACAAAAAUAAUGAUAAAAUAAUAUUUACUAUUUCUCAUAACAUACUAAAAAUUACAAGAAGUAUUUACUAAUAAACAUAAUAGUAUUGAAAAUAAAAUUACUUAUAAUAAAUUAAAAUGUACUAAUAUUUGAAAUUAAUUUUUUAACUUUUUCGGUCAAUAAGAAAUUUUAACUUUAAAGAUAAAAUCAUUUGUCGAUUGAGUUUUAAUUUGAUUGACAUGGGCAUUGUUGUCAAUGCAGGAGGAUGCGGGUUCGAGUGCGUUGAAGUGCAUUAUCCUCCUAUUUAUAGGUUAGAGAGGGGUAAUGGGUAGUUCUAAGCAUUGUCUUAAAAAGAGCAAAUAUAAUCUGAACUUAUAAUGAGAUUAUUAAAAAAAUCAUUUAAUAUAUGUUUAAUUUUUUUAGAAUAUCAUUUAAAUUUUAAUUCAUUAUCAAACACGAUCCACCAUAUCAGAUAUGUGGUUAAUACCACAAAAUAAGUCAUCCUGAGUUGCCUGACAACGAUAACCCGCCAUCUUAGGUUGCCCGACAACGAUGGUGUACUAAUAUCAAUAUGCAGUUAAACUGCCAGAACACUUCCUCCGUCACAUCAUUAUCCCACUCCCAAUGCAUAUGCCAAAACAUAUUACAUACGAAUCAAUAUCAAAUGCAUGUAUGCCUUACAUAGUUUUCACGUCAUACAUACAUACUUUUCACAUUAUAUUAUGCUAACAAUUAACAUACAUAAUUCAAAUAACAUACAGUAGAAAAAUGUCAGAUUUUAUGUUUUAGAGUCUUAUUUAUACAGUACGAACCCUAUGGAGAGGCUAAAUUCGAAUUGCUUAUCAAAUAUGGCCCCAGGUAAAACUUUUAGAAAAGGGGCCCAUAAGGCCCAACUAAACCAGUCUGUAUGGCUGACACGGCCUGUCACAAGGUCGUAUGGCAUCGUUAGUUGACUUUUUAGCAUCACGUUGUUAGCUAUUUUUCUGAUUUUCCUUUACGUACCUGGUUUUUUUUAUGACGACACAACAACCACAAUUCCAGCACCUAAAAACGACAUUCAAAACGAGCUAAUUUAGGAACGAUACGCUAAAUCUAAGACACUAAUUCAGCCACAACCAUUACAUUUGGCUUUAGUAAGACAAGUUAGCCCUUUAUUGAAAGCAUUAAUCACUUACCCUUGAAGUAACAACAUUUUCUAUCCACACUUAGACCAUCGAAGGAAAGUUUCGCAUCUCUCAAUUCUCACGUAACAAAUCACAAUAGGAAUUAACCCCUAAAAAAUUCAAUCAAAAACCACAAAGCGACAAUACACAUUACAUUCACCCCUCAUAACCCAUGAAAAGAAUUCACUUACACCAAAAUUUGAUACUACAAUGGUGAACUUCCAAACCCUCAAAACCCAAACUGAUAACAAUAAAUUAACAACUGCUCAAAAUAGGGAACAAAAUUCGAGUAGCGUAACCCCAAACAGAGAUGGCAAAAGGAUAAAUAAAUAGAAAGAAAAGGAGAAAGAAAAGGAAAAUUUUUAGAAAAAAUAUAAAAUUGAAGAAAACAGAGGAAAUCUUUUUUAGCAGUCUAACAUGAAAUCAAAGUUGGAAGAGAUGGGAAAAUAGGGAAGUUGGACGUGAGAGAGAAUGAGAGAGGGAAAUUUUUUUAGGAACUAAUUUUCAAAAAUAAAAAUAAAAUAACACAAAAUAAAAUCCUAUCAGAUUUUUCAUCAUUUAAAUUUGACUCAAAUUCUGAUCAAAUGAGUGGUACACGUAGGGAUUGAAACACAAGACCAAAGGAUAACCUGAAGCCUUACCACUGAAUCAACAGACCCAUUCUAUCAUUAGUUGAGUGAAAAUAAUAUAUAAGCCAGAUGUUCAAAGAUAGGGGUUGCAACAAAAUUACUAAAAAUUCAAGAAGAGGGAUUCAAACACAAGACCUCUUACACACAAACACAAAACUUAACAACUAAACCAAAUCAAUUCAUUUAACAUAAUUUCACAACAUUUAACUAAAAAUAGCAUGAGAUCACUCUCUCAAUUCACUAACCUAAUUUCUACUAACCCAGUUUUCGAGAUCUAACAUGGUCAAUUUUAGUCCAUGUAGUUUUUGAAAGUUAUGGAUUUAGUCCCCUUACUUUAAUUUGAUCAACUUUAGUCCUUGUAUUUUUGAAUUAGUAAAUUUUAGUCUAUGACUUUUUGAAUUGGUCAAUUUUAGUCUUGACUCAAAUAGUAGCAAUUAAAUCGCUUUGGUUAAAUUCAAUUACUAGUAUUGUACCAUGCAUACAGUUGUAGAUUUGGUUCAUAUUCUUCAAUCAUAUCAUUCUAAGUUUCUAUAUUUUUUGAAUUUUGAAAUUUCAAUCUUGAUGCAAGUGACAACAGUUAAUCCAUUAACUGAAUUUUUAGUGAGUAAUAUGUAUAAAUAACAAGUUGACAUGACAUUACACGUAUAAUAAUAUGUUUUGCGCAUUACAUUUUGAAAAUAACAAAACUUUAUAAAUUUAACAAUUACAGUUUAAUGAGAACUAAAUUUUAAAUUUUAAAAAGUACGAAAACUAAAAUAACCAAAUUAAAAUAAAUGGAUUAAAUUUACUUGCAAAUUAUUUCUUUCCCUACCAAUGAUUUUUUAAAGUUGAUAAUAGAAGUAGCAAAAAAGCAUCCUCUCAAUAUCUAAAAAACUAUAAUGUUAUCUAAGGAAGAAAGAAUAUUUAAAUGACAUUGAGAUUAUAUUAUUAUCUGAAAUGUUAACCAUUAUUGAAUUAAGAAGAUAAUUUUUGCAAUCUUACAUCAAACGCAAGUUAGGUAAAUGUCACUUCAACUUGCGUGAAUGUUACUUCAUGCAAAUGGUAAAUAUUUAAAUCUUUGAAAUCAAACAAUUAAAUGCGUAGCCUUUUACUAUAUUUCAUGGGAAAAAUAUUGUUUGAAAUAGUAAUGUUAUGUUAUUUUUAUCAUUUUUCUAAUAAUUUUAUGUCACAUUAGUAUUUUUGUCCUAAAUUUUAGUAUUUUUAUAUUGAAAAAAAUUAAAUUUAAAUUAAAAUCUUGAAAUUCAGAAUAAAAUUACUGAUAUUGCAUAAAACUAUUGUAAUCACCAAAAUUUGCCCGGAUUGUUAAAACUGAUGGAUAAAUAAAUAAAUAUUUAUUUAUUUAAUUUAAACAGUCCAUAAAAGUUUUUUUUUACAGACCCAAACAGCCAAAUUUUACUAGACUAGCCCAGCCUAAACUAAGUCCCAAAUCCCUUAACCCGUUUACACCCUUGACCCAUUACAAUUACAACUUUAGCCCAAAUAUACCCGAAGCCCAGACCUAAACUGGACCCGAAUAACAGUGGCCCAAAAAACCCAAAACUAUCAGCUAGGGUUUUCAGCCCUAGCUCUUUCCCCUCGCGCCGCAAUAGUUUCUGAAAGCUUCGGGGAGCGUCGGUGCAACUCCCCAGAUUGAGGCCAUCAAUGCAUACCGACGCGCCAUCAAUGCGUUUGUCCCUCUCGUGACCGUCCAGCACCGCGAUCUCAGGCCUCCCCUCUAGCCUUGGUACCACCGUUAACGCUGAGAUCAUUGGGAUACCUGCAAGAAAAGGAAACAAACAGCAGAUACGCGAAAAAAGCAGAGUAGAAAAAGGCAAGGAAAUCACAGUCAAAGAUACAGAAGACACAAAAUAGAAAGAAAUCUUAGAUUUCUUUCCCCGAAUAUGUAAGGGACCGAGGCUAUAAAGCCUUUCUUUUCACUUGUAAAAAGGACUUACGUUCUGAAAAAUACACAUGAGGCAGAUACCAAAACAUUGUACACAGAAUCGUUUUUGCAAUAAUAUACCAGAGAUUUUUUUUUACAGAAGACAAAGGUGACAUAUUUUUAUUUCCGUUUCAUUCGCUUGAUCAUGAGUUUAUGCAUAUAAUAUAUUAAACAGAUAGAGAGAGAGUAUACCUAGAGAAUCACUUUGAAAAGCGAAACUUUUCAAGUUCCGACCGUCGUGUGUGGCGGGGUCGAUGGCGGCGCGUGGAUCUCAACGUGGAGGUCCGAUGACCAGAGCUGAUCGGCUAAAUGCCGGAGCUCAGAGGACCAGGGAUCCUCUUCAGAGGAUUUUUUUUUGUUUUUUAGAAACUGGGUUUCUAAAUGAUUUUAAAGCUGAAGGUUUGGCUUAUAUAGCCUUGUCAAAACGACAGCAUUUUAGACCUUCAGGAUCCGCGUGUUGACCCGAUUACCCGGGGAGGAUCCGCGCGUUUUUGAGAGUUGGGUUAAUUACCCAAUUGAUCCUUCUAUCCCUUUUGUACUUACAAUUAAACUUUAUUUUAUUUUAUAAUUUUGCCCAUUAUUUUAUUUUAGUUUUAAUUUAGUCCCUAUGGCUAUUAAAUUAUAUUUUGGAAAAACGUCACCAUUUUGGGAAUAGGGUUAUUUGCCCAGUGACCCCCUUUUAUUUUGCGGGCAUUUCAAAUCAAGCCAUAAUUCAGUUUUAACUUUUUAAAUUUUCCCCGUAAUUUUACAAAACUUUAAAUUUGGUUCUAUUUUUUUAUUUCUAUACAUUUUUAUAUUAAUAUUUGAUUUACUUUUACUUUUAUACAUUAAAAUUAUUAAAAGUGUUAUUUUUAUAUAUAUAUUACUAUUAUAUAUUAUUUUCCUCAAAUUAUUAUUAUUUUUAUAUAUUAUUAUAUUUUCACAUAUAUUAUAUAUUUAUUAAUUAUUUAUAUAUAUAUCUUGUUUUACAUGUUAUUUUAUAUUAUAUUAUAUUUCUUAUAUGUUCAUAUUACAUUUUAUUUUUUUAUUUUUUUUAUAUGUUAUGUAUAUCAUGUAUCGCCAAUUAUAUUUUUUAUGAUUACAUUAUAUAUAUUAUUAUUAUUAAAUCAUAUUUUUAACCCACACUAUAUAUAUAUAUUUAUUAUUUAUUUAUUUAUUUACUAUAUAUUAUUUUAUUUUAAACUAAUAUGGUUAUAUUAUGAAAUCUCUUACAUACUCCUAAACCAAUAUAUUUUAUAAGCAUAAUUAUUAUUCUAUUUUUGUUAUUAUAUAUUACAUAUUAUAUUAAAUACUAUUUUAGAAUUAUUAAUAUCACAUUUUAAUUAUGUGUAUAUUUUGUUAACAAUUAUUAAUUUUAUUUUUAUUAGUCCUGUUAUACAUCUUUAUAUUGUAUGUGUCAUGGGUGUGUUAAAUAUUAUUUUUAUGAUUAUUAUUAUAUUUUAUAUUUUGUACACAUGUACAUUGAUUUGCAUGUCAUAUGUUUUUUAAUCAUUACUUUCUUAUAUUUCAUGCAUUAUUUAAUUAUUACUUUGUAUGUUUGUAUAUUUUAUUUAUUCAUUCUCAAUACAUGCUUUAUAUAUCUUAGUAUGCAUAUUAUUAAUAUUUGCUAUUUUAUAUGUAUGAAUCUAAUGCACGUUCUUUAUAUCAUUGCCAUCAUUUUGUUUAAAUGCACGUAUAAUUUACCUACUACAAUAAUAUGUUACUGUUUAUGAUUUAUGAUACAAAAUAAUUCCUCAUGCAUCAUCUUCAAAAAAGACAAGGCUCCAAAAUUUUCAAAAAAAUAUAAAGGCAAUGCUUGGUGUUUGGAAAUGUCGAAAGAGUAGUGCCCUAACUUAUUGGGUUGCAACUUUUCUCGUUAAGUUCGAAUAGUCAAGUAUCUUUCUACGUUUUUAAAGGUUUUCAAAAUGUAAGCAACUGCCUUGGAAUUUCAAAGCGUUGUGUCCUAACUUAUUGGAUGUGGCGAUUUGUCGUUUCGAGAUAGGGAUUUCCAAAAGGUUAACUUAGUGUCAAUGUUUGAUACAAGUGAUCCUAAAUUUUCAAAAUCAAAGUAUUUUAAAGAGGAUUACAUCUUAAAAUUUUUAAAAUUUCCGACAUUAAAGACAUUUGAUAAUCAAUUAGGUACUAAUUUUUGGGCGUUACAAGGGUGCUAAUCUUUCCUCGUACGUAACCGACUCCCGAACCCGUUCUUUUAUUUCGUGGACCAAAACUAAUGAUUUUAAAACAAAAUGUUUAAAGGUGAACCAAUCACACCUAAAAAGAUUGGUGGCGACUCCCGUUUUUAUUUUUUUUAAAAUCGAUUCCCAUUUUCCAAAACUCGAUUUGAAAAUGGUUUCGACAGCUUGGCAACUCCACUGGGGAUGUUUUAAAAGAGUCAAGCCGUGUAAUUGAUUAUCUCUUGUCUUAAUGUCGAAAAUUUAAAAAUUUUAAGCUUUAAUCUUCUUUGCAUUACAUGUGUUUGAAUUAUUGUAUGUGUUGCUAUAUUCUAAUACGCAUUGCAUUUACAUGACCGUUGUGGUCACACCCUUAAGUGGGAGUGAGAAGCUACGCCUUCGUGAGGUUUUCGCCUCCGUGCAGGAUAGUGGAUCACUUUCGAGAUACGUUCGUACCUAUGAUUUCGUGAGAUUUUCAUUUCUGUGUAACCAUAGGGAAAUGUAUUCCCCUAAACUGAAAUCGAUUCAAAUGAGCCUAUAAUGGGUGAGGAUCGAGGAAUCUGCUGGUUCAGGUACCUCAAACUUUAGAACCAACCUCAUAUAGAAAAAAACUGUAAGAGCCCAACUUAGUUAGAGUUAAACUUUAGAUAUUAUCCUUAUAAAUUAUUGUUGAGAUUUAUUGAUAUCAUAUGAUACUGACUAUUUCUUUUCUUUUGUUUGCAUGACAUUUUGCAUUCACAAAGGUAUCGAUUCACGGUCAGUUUCUAAGUUAGAGAGUUUUAUUAUGGAGAACGGACUUCUUGAUAGAGUGGAGAGCAAUGCCAACGUCCAAGAACUUAAGGAGAUUUGAGAUCAAUUGGGCAACGAGACUAAACAGUUAUUCUACGGUAAUUAUGGAGAUUUACCUUACUUGCUCGAUGUUCAAAUAGAUGAGCACUUGUUCCGAGCCCUCACUCAGUUUUGGAAUCCAGCGUAUAGUUGCUUUACUUUUGGAGAGGUAGACUUGGUGCCUACCGUAGAGGAGUACACUGCCUUGUUACGUUGUCCCAGGUUCCAGGUUGAAAGAAUCUAUUCUCGAGCUGCUAAUGUCCCUACCUUUUGGAAGAAAUUGAUGACUAUUACAGGGAUGAGUGAGCAGUGGAUUAUGGCCAGAAUUAAAGAGAAUGGUGAGUGCAAGUGCAUUUCAUGGGACGCUUUGAAGGGUCUGAUUUUGACACAUCCCGAUGAAACAAAGAGGGUAGAUGUUUUUGCCUUAAGUUUGUACGGAUUGAUGGUGUUCCCUAGGGCUUUGGGAUAUGUGGAUGAGGCAACCACGAAUCUUUUCCAUAGACUCAGUAAGAGGGUCACUUAUGUCCCUGCAAUUUUGGCAGAGACAUUCAGGUCCUUAGGCACAUGUAGAAAAGCUGGUGCAGGCAGGUUUGUUGGUUGUGCACAAUUACUUCUAGCUUGGUUCUAUAGUCAUUUUCGGUUGAUAGAUAAGGUCGUUUGUCGGGUUUUCUUUGAGGAUUACUCACCGCUGAAGGACAUAGUCGCUUCAACUAGGAGAGUUGAUGUUCUGGAGGAGAAUUGGAUGGCACUACUUCAAAAUAUUCAGUCGAAAGAUGUUGAGUGGAGAGCUCCGUGGAUGAUUCCUGGUGAGAUUCUUUACCGUUGCGGCAGUUUCGAUUGGGUCCCUUUAUUGGGAAUUUGGGGUGCCAUUGGUUAUGCCCCCUUGCUCGUGUUAAGGCAAUUCGGUUUGAAGCAGUUCGUGCCAGCAACUCAUGGGCUAACUCAAAGUGAGUUUGCAUAUAGAGGAGCCGAUUAUAAGAAAAUGGUCGGUGAGAUCUCUAGUGCUUGGAACAAGACGUGUCGGUUGAAAGGAGUAGCUAUUGGCCCUGCUACGACUCCAGAAUAUGUUGAAUAGAGAGGUAGAAAGAUUAAUGAUAAUAUUCCUAAGCCAAAUAUGGAAGGAGCUCGACCGAUGGAGGAAUAUUUGCAAGUGAUGCCCUCGGAGUUAGAAAUUAUGAAGCAAGAAUUUGAGAGGAAAAAUCUGGAGCUCAAGAAAAGGAUAGCAAAGCUUGAAGAAGAAAAGAUGUACUUGAGUUUAGAUAUUGAUGUCCAGAAGAUGGAGGUCAAAAAAGAAAGAAAGGAAAAGAGGAAGAUUGAAGAGGAUAGAGAUAACUUGAAGGAACACUACAAAAAGGCACAGGUAUCCUUAAGAAGAGCGAAAAUAGGAGGGUCUUCAGAUCAGUUGCAGAAAGAGGUCCAAGAAGGAAAGGCUAGAGCUGAGUACUGGGAGAAGAAGUUUUAGGAGAUGCAAUCGCGGAAUUUGGCAUUAGAAGAAGAGAAUAAAGGGUUGAAGUCUACAGUAACUGAGCUUGGAAGAUCCCUUCGUUGGCAUCGCAACCAUGAUUCUACGGUCGAGUUAAAAGAGCUAAAGAGUAAAGUUGAAAAUUUGGAAGCAGCAUUGCAGGAAGGUAAACUUAAGAUCGAGCGACUCGAGACGCAAGGAGAUUAUCUAAAGGGAGAACUUCAUCAGUCUAGAGGGCAGAUUAGAGAAAGGGAUCAUGUCAUGGAAGAAGCCAUAGCUCAGAUUCGAGAGGUUGCUGAAUAUGUGCAAGACUUGGCUGUACGAGCCAAUGUAUUGAGUAUGAUGUGUGGGUCGUCGUCAGACAUAGGAAGAGAGUUAUCCCUUUUAUUAGAUAGAGUUAAAACUUUGGGCAUUAGGGCGAAAGCGUACUUGUAAUCCAUUUAUAUGUAAAGAUAUUCUUUUUCUAAAUAAAGUUUUCUAAAUGAGAUUGAAUCGAGAUUGAUGCCUUUGUUGCAUUCAUACAUUUGCAUUACAUCAUAUCAUAUGCAUUCAAGGUUAUAGAAAGACCCUAAUUAGUUAAAGUUUCUUUAUAAAGGUAGAAAAAAAACUGGAAAUUACAUAUCCUUACGGCACUCGCACUAAAACUAAGAACAUGGAUCAAAUGUUUGAGUAGUUGCAAAAGGAUAUGCAAGACCAGUUGCAAGAGCAGUUGGCUAAAAUGCAGAAUGAGAUGAGGGAACAAAUGAUGGAAGCUCAGAGGAAUAUAAUGGCCGAAAUGGCUCAGUUACUGAGGGCCACUGAUAAAGGAAAAGCUCCUAUGGCCAUCACUGAAGAGGAAAAUGAGGGUUCUCCUCCAGGUUUUACACCGCCGCAUGUAUCAUUGCCAACUGAGGCACCUCCUAGAAGGCCAUCUACUACUGUGAGGCCUCAGCAUGGGCCAAUUGAUGCUGGUGUCCAUGUGAAUUUUCUGGUUGGUUCAGGGCUUAAUAUGGGUGACAAUCUUACUAAUCCUCUUGUUCCCGAUCUAGAUAUGGUGGAAAAGGAGGAUUUGAAAGCCGAAGCUGCAAGACAAUUGGAUGAACGCUGCAGAUGGUUAGAAGAAAAGUUCAAGGCUUUGGAAAGCACUGGCAAUAAUCAUGGGAUUGAUGCCAAGGACUUAAGUCUGGUCCCAAACCUAGUGUUACCUCACAAAUUCAAAAUGCCAGAAUUUGAAAAAUACAAUGGCACUACUAACCCAGUUUUCGAGAUCUAACAUGGUCAAUUUUAGUCCAUGUAGUUUUUGAAAGUUAUGGAUUUAGUCCCCUUACUUUAAUUUGAUCAACUUUAGUCCUUGUAUUUUUGAAUUAGUCAAUUCUAGUCUAUGACUUUUUGAAUUGGUCAAUUUUAGUCUUGACUCAAAUAGUAGCAAUUAAAUCGCUUUGGUUAAAUUCAAUUACUUGUAUUGUACCAUGCAUACAGUUGUAGAUUUGGUUCAUAUUCUUCAAUCAUAUCAUUCUAAGUUUCUAUACUUUUUGAAUUUUGAAAUUUCAAUCUUGAUGCAAGUGACAACAGUUAAUCCAUUAACUGAAUUUUUAGUGAGUAAUAUGUAUAAAUAACAAGUUGACAUGACAUUACAUGUAUAAUAAUAUGUUUUGCGCAUUACAUUUUAAAAAUAACAAAACUUUAUAAAUUUAACAAUUACAGUUUAAUGAGAACUAAAUUUUAAAUUUUAAAAAGUACGAAAACUAAAAUAACCAAAUUAAAAUAAAUGGAUUAAAUUUACUUGCAAAUUAUUUCUUUCCCUACCAAUGAUUUUUUAAAGUUGAUAAUAGAAGUAGCAAAAAAGCAUCCUCUCAAUAUCUAAAAAACUAUAAUGUUAUCUAAGGAAGAAAGAAUAUUUAAAUGACAUUGAGAUUAUAUUAUUAUCUGAAAUGUUAACCAUUAUUGAAUUAAGAAGAUAAUUUUUGCAAUCUUACAUCAAACGCAACUUAGGUAAAUGUCACUUCAACUUGCGUGAAUGUUACUUCAUGCAAAUGGUAAAUAUUUAAAUCUUUGAAAUCAAACAAUUAAAUGCGUAGCCUUUUACUAUAUUUCAUGGGAAAAAUAUUGUUUGAAAUAGUAAUGUUAUGUUAUUUUUAUCAUUUUUUUAAUAAUUUUAUGUCACAUUAGUAUUUUUGUCCUAAAUUUUAGUAUUUUUAUAUUAAAAAAAAUUAAAUUUAAAUUAAAAUCUUGAAAUUCAAAAUAAAAUUACUGAUAUUGCAUAAAACUAUUAGAAAAAAAUAAUAUUUCAUACCAUCUUUCUCAUAUUUCAUAUGGGCAAAGGAAGGAUUAGGUUAGAUCUUCCUUUAAGAGCAUGCUACAUAUAUUCUCUAUCAAUGCUUCAAGAUUAGUUAAAAUGGAUAAUCUUUGAUUUAUUCAAACCUUACCCUAAAUUAAUAUAUAUAUAUUUGACAAGUCUUUAUAUGUUAAUUUUUAGAAUUAUUUUUAUAUUUUAUUUAUUUUUAAUACUUGUAUUUUUUCAAUACAAAAAAUAAAAGUAUACUAACUAUAAUUUUUUUCUAUAAAAUUUUAAAACUCUAAACUCGUAAACCUUAAAAUUAUAAUACCAUAAACUUUUAAAUUCUAAACACUAAACCAUAAAUAAUGAAUCCCAAAAUUUUAUCUACCCUUAAACCUUAAUCUCAAACCUAACCCUUAAUCUAACCUUUUUAUCUAAAACCAUAAACCUUAAAAAUCUAAAUCUACCAUUUCAUAAACCGUAAACCUAGUUAAACAAAAAUAAUCCAUAAACCUUGUGUUAAUAUUUAUUAUAUAAUAUUUUUAUUUAAGCUUUAAUACAUUAAUAUUUCCACCAAGUUUACCAUUCAUAGCGAAACACAAUUUUGCGUCCUCCAUACGUGCCCUCCGAUAAUUUAUAUGUCUGCUGAGAUUUGUGUAACUUUUAUUUCCUGUCAUCGAUAUUUUCUUUUAACACGUGAAAUCUGAAAAGUUACUAAAAAAUUCUUAUUGAUAUGAAACUACCUCUUCUCCAUUUUCCAUAUCCUCAUUAUAUUUGGAGCUUUCGUUUUUUUUCCCCAUUACAAGCCCUAUUCUGCUGCGAUCUUCUCCCAUAACUCAUGACUUUUAUUCUCUUUGGUUAUAUAUAUUUAUUUCUUCUCUAUUUCUUUAUUUUGAGCAAACAAUCUUCCACGCGUUUAUGGAUACAAUGUCACUGUAAGUUUUGCAUCACAACUGGUCCAAGAAACCGACUUUCAAUUCACUACUUGAAAAUUUUGAUUUAACAAUUAUAAUGAUUUCGGAUUUCUCUUUUUACUCUUAUUCUUUUUCAAACUUGGUCUAUAGUUUCGUAUUUCCAUUUGUAAAAUAUAAGAUACUAUACAAGAAAAUAGGGAAGAGUAAAGAAAAGCUCAUGGUGGUUUAAUGGAAAUUAAUUCAUAUAAAAAGGUUGAGAGUUGAAACAAGGAUAAGAGGAUAAGUUGAUCAAUAAGACAAUUGCUCAGAGUGACUUUAGGGAAUUAGAAAAUUGAUUCUUUCUCCAGCAUUUUUCAGAGCAUUUAGAGGAGAUCUCUUCCUAUCCGUUAAUAUGACGUGGUAGAAUAUACAUUCAGUCCCACUAGCUGUAUAAAAGAUCAUCAUGGACGUGUAUUAUAGAACUUUAUCAAUACAAGGUUGUUUUACAUAGAUACACUCCUCAUUGUUUUAGAAAUACAUUCACACUAGGAGAAUGUUCACACUCAAAUACAUGUGCCUUCUUCUGAGUUGAACGGAUGGCAUGUGAAGGUACUACUUCAAAAGGAGUCUAUGCCCAAUUCAAUGAUGCAUUUGGUACUAACACAUGUCCCAACAGUGUUGGGUAUAACAAAACUAUUUUCUAAUUAUUCAAGAUUCAAAUUAAAAUAAAAUUUAUAAAUAUAAAAAUUAUAUUUUUUAAUAAAUUAAUAAUUCUAUUAAAACUUUUUUUAAGAAUAUUAAAAUAUCAACAACUCGAAUUGCGUACACGUGCAUUUAUUAGGAACCCUUGCUCUUCUUUAUAAUUGGAUGAUUAUGGAGAGAGUUAGCAAAGCCUUUCUCAAAGCAAUGACUAUGAACUCAGAGUUAGCAAAGCUAGGAAGCUCACUCCUGGUGCCUAGUGUCCAAGAGUUAGCAAAGAACCCAUUGAAAGAAGUUCCACCUCGAUACGUACGCACUGAUGAAGACUCUCCCAACAUAUCUCGCACAAAUCCGUUGCCACAAGUUCCUGUCAUAGAUAUGCAGAAGCUAUCUUCCAAAGAAGAACUGGAGCAGCUGCAUUAUGCAUGCAAAGAGUGGGGUUUCUUCCAGGUACUUGUUUGUUUACUCCCAGUCGUAGCUAUCUGCAGGUUGAAAUUAAGUAUCAGGAAAAAUACUAUUGACUGAGAUUUGGCAGCAGGGUAUGAGAUUUUCGAGUUAGAAUUUUAAACAUGGAACUGUUUUGCAGUUAAUCAACCAUGGAGUGAGCCCUUCAUUGGUGGAAAAAAUGAAGAUGGAGACCCAAGAGUUUUUCAAUCUUCCAAUGGAGGAGAAAAAGAAAGUUUGGCAAAAACCAGAUGAACUAGAGGGAUAUGGACAGGCCUUUGUUGUGUCCGAGGAGCAGAAGCUUAACUGGGGAGAUAUGUUCUAUAUGAUCACUCUUCCAACUUAUUUAAGAAAACCUCACUUGUUCCCUAAUCUCCCACUCACCUUCAGGUUCUUUUUCUGCAUCUGUCAAUGACUAAUAGUAUCCCUUUUAUUGAUGGGUAAAUAAUUUAUUGUUCUCUUUUCUUUCAAUAUUAAUUAAUUGCAGAGAAACCUUGGAAGCUUAUUCUGUAGAACUGAAAUAUCUUGCCAUGAAACUGUUAGAGGUUAUGGGAAAAGCUCUAGGGAUGGACCCUAAUGACUUGAGAGUGUUGUUUGAGGAAGGGCACCAAGGGAUGAGGAUGAACUACUAUCCCCCAUGUCCACAGCCAGAGCUUGCAAUUGGUCUCAACUCCCACUCUGAUGCCGUUGGCCUCACCAUUCUACUCCAGAUCAACGACAUGGAAGGCCUCCAGAUAAGGAAAAAUGGGAUUUGGGUUCCGAUUAAACCACUUCCAAACGCAUUUGUGAUCAACAUCGGAGACAUCAUGG